rnacentral:lncRNA from 1 species
UUAAUUAACCUGAGAUCGAGAGGAAAGAGUGAGAUGUUAGAUGUACAUUUUUGUUCAGCAACUCAACAAUGAACUGAUAUUUGAGAGUUAAUUAUAGAGAAAACAUUGUGCAUCUAUUUGUGGAUCAUAUAACCUAUAUUUAAUCUAAUUAAAACAAAUUCACAUACAAGGUUCAGAUGGCCGAGUUGGUCUAAGGCGCCAGAUUAAGGUUCUGGUCCGAAAGGGCGUGGGUUCAAAUCCCACUCUGGACACUCGCUAAAACAUUUUAAUUUAUUUUUCAAUCAAAAAUUUUUACAUAGGGAUUAAUUUAAAUUAAUCAGAAAAUAUAUUCACUGAGGGACCAUUAACUUGCCAGUAAUUUAAUCCUGCUGCUGCAACUCUGCAGCAGAUUCACUUCUUCUUUUUUUUUUUUUCUUUUGCUUGGACAUGGUCAUUAAUUGUUUGUUAGAAACAAAUACUUUCACAUAAUUCAUUCUCAAUUUAGUUGUAAUGAUGCACUUUGCUCUUAUCUCGCGUAGAUCCAAAAAUAUGGGAUGGUUAUUACACCCAAAUGUACAAAAUUUCAACUGAAUGAGUUAGCACAUGAUUUCAGUUCUAUAUCUGAACAUUUGUGGAUGCUGCAGGUAAUAGAUGGUAGAACAAAAAGAAGAUCCCCAAGUCCCAACCAAAUUAGCAAUCUGUUUUUUGGAUAACUUAUUUAGUUUUAUACAAUUUUUAGCUGACAAGAUCAGUGGACUUGAGUUUCAACAGCCAAAAUAACAAUGGAAGCACGCAAUCACAAUUCACAAUUUCUUUCCCUCGGGUUUCAAAUUAAAAAAGCGCCGCACUUUUGCUACCAAAUAAACCAGAAGGAUGUUGAAAUGAUAUAACACAACUUUUAUUAAUGUUAAUGAUCACACAUUAAUUUGCAACUCUGACUGAAUGAAUGUAUCUGCUAGAUACAACUUAAUUUUAAUUCUGGAAAAAGCUUAUUCAAAAUAGACAAAUCUCAAACUUUCUAUCCAUGUAAUGCCUCUUCACAACUUGAUUAUUACACCCUUAUCCAAACCAGAUUGAUGCUACCUUAAUCAGAUCAAUCCUACACUUAUUAUAACACCAACUCCAGCUCCCAACUGGAAGUUCUUUGAUGCAAGCAGCAAAGCAUUUCUGGUCCACAUUUCCGGGAUUGAGCUUCCUAUUAUAUCCUUCUAUUGAGAGGGCAAAAGCCGAGGCCGUUAGCAACACCGCAAGCACGAUCACCUCUCUCCUCAUCGCGGUCGUCAUUCUCUCUUUUCACCCCUUCUUAUACUGCAAAAUUCAUUUGGUGUAGCGGCUCGUGUAGGGGAGUUGAUGCUCUUUAUGUAGCUUCUGGAAUUGGGGAGUUUGUCAGGUUGAGAUCAUGCAUGCAAAAGUGGUGAGCCUGUCAGGUUGGGAUCAUGCAAAUUUUGCCGUGUUUGAAAUGAUCAUAUAAAGAUGUGUAACUGCACAAAAUUAUCUAGUUACAUAUAUACCCGUGCAAAAUCUGAAUUCUCAUGUUAUAUAUAAUAUAUAUAUACACACACGCACACACACACACGCACACACACGCACACAACAGAAAUAUAUGGAGUUUUGAGCUUUUGAUUUAUCCUAUACUUAGUUUGUCCAGAAAUUUAGAGCAACUUCUCUGCUUCGGAAGAUAUGCGAAAAUUAAAAGGUUACGAGCCAAUCAUUUAUGGUAUUACCAUGAAAUAAGCUUUUAGCUCGCAAAGGGAAAAGGUAAUUAAAGCUUUUGGUUAUGUCGAGUUGGAAGCUUUUAAAACUAAAACUUUCUUAAAAAAUCAACAUAAACAACAGUUCUGCAAAAGCACGAGCGACUGAAACAAGUACGAUAUAUAGACCAAAAAGCCACUUCUCGGGCUCAUGUACGCGUUGUGUCCAUCAUACGACAUUUAAGGAUGGUUUACUAUUCUUUAAUUAAUAAGCAUUUCUUUUUAGUUCCAUGGGAUUUUAAGGGCCAAACUUGAUGAAAUGUGAUGCUCUCCAUGUAGAAAUCUGCAACGAAUUCUCCCAGGGAUGCCGUGGUCAACAAUUGAGUUUGAAGUCGGCGAAGGGAACCGACAAUUACCGACAUCACUAGCGAGAAAAUGACUCGGCAGCGAAUCACCGGCAAUUGCAGAUUUUCAGUUAUAAAGGUGGCCUAAAUUAGUAGGCCUAGGCCCACUUAACACUGGGCCGUAUAAAUAAAAGCCCAAAUUCCAAACAUUCGACCCAGAUCGAACGCUGCGCAAUCGAACGGCUAAUAUUAACUGGUCUCAUUAAAUAAAUAACGGUCUCGUUAGGGCUUUUUCUCUCUCUCUCCCGCUGCCGCUACUACCGUGUGCUCUGGUCUCCGAAGCACCCAAACACUUUCUAGGGUUUCCGAAGAGCUCCCUAGGGUUUCAUCACCAUGGUGAGCUCUCCCGAUUCUCUCUACACUUUCUCACUACUAUUUGUAUUCUCAUAAUUCUCUCUAGAUUCGUUUUACUUGAAGCUUUUCGAUCCAAUUCCCUCUCUUUGGGGUUUCAAAGACGCCUCUUUCACACAAACCUCUACUUGUUGAUGCCUUUUAACAUCUACUUGAAGCUUUUCAAUCAGAGUCCAUCGUCUGGGGUUUCAAAGAUGCUUCUUUUACGAAAAAUUUCACUGGAUCACUCUAAGUUAUGUGUUUUUUUUGGGGGGAUUAUUAGGUUCUCCAAAACGAUGUCGAUCUUUUGAAUCCCCCAGCGGAGCUCGAGAAGCGGAAGCACAAGCUUAAGCGGCUCGUGCAAUCCCCGAACUCCUUCUUCAUGGUAUUCUCAUCUUCAGAAUACGAUCCGAUAGGAAGCUUUCUUUUUUCUGCCUUUGUUCCAAUUUUCUUUCAACUAAAUUUCAAUUUGUUUUUUUUUUUAAUCGAAAUUUGUAGGAUGUGAAGUGCCAAGGUUGCUUUAAUAUGUAAGUCUCUCUUUCUUAGCAAUAAAAAGUUGCAACUUUUUAUUUGAGUAUUGGUUUACUCGCAAAUUUAGUUCAAUCCUGAUCUCAAUUCCCUCUUUAUAGAGUUCCAACUACAAUACUUUAGGCCCCUGAAGUUCAACUUGAAUUGCAACUUAGUCCUUGAGAGUUUCUACUUAAAAACUUUUGGAUUCUUAAUAAUCAAAGUCCAAUAAUGGUGCUGGUUUUGAAAAUUGCCGUUCACAUUGCAAGAUCUGAUCUGGCACCUUUUCCAGGCAAUGAGUUAACAAUAGAGCUUAGUGGUUAAGCUGAACAAACUACGGGGACUAAAUUGUUAUGACUCAAAAGUGUGAGGAUCAUAUUGAGUUCAUGGUUGAACUUCAGGGACUAAUCUUGUAAUUAGAAGUUUUUUUUUUGAAUUGGGCAAUUAAUCAAUCUAUCAAAGUAUAUAGUUUGUUGAAUGCAUUAGGUAAUGCAUGUUUGCCUAUUAUUGUUCCAAUUAUUAGUAAUUCCGCGGAUUGUGUGAUCAUGCAGAACCACUGUUUUUAGCCACUCGCAGACCGUGGUGUUCUGCGGCAGUUGCCAAUCCGUUCUUUGCCAGCCGACUGGAGGGCGUGCAAGGCUCACCGAGGGAUGCUCUUUUAGGCGGAAGGGAGAUUAAGUGGCGCGGGUGCAAGUUUACUAUAGUCUUAUUACAUCGACUUGAUUCGAGCUAUUUAAGUCUUUGAGACUGAAAUGAGAUGUUACGGUUUGGUCGUUACGAUUUUUCCUUUUCAAGCUGAAGUUUUGGUAUUUGGUCUCAUUUAUUGUAGGUUGUUGAUUUUGUUUAACUUGUUCUCAUGUUGCUAUUGUUGCAUUUCUGGAUCUUAAUUGGAAAAAUGAGUCUACGAUAAUUGAUACUGGAUUGUUAUCUAUUGUGGUUCUGGAAUGGAUAUGUAAUUCGUCACUACAAAUGCUUGAAAUUGGUAUUUUGUUUUAACUGGAAGUACACAUUGCAGUUGAUUCCGGUAUUGGUGUCGAGCUAAAUAGGGGAUCAUUUUCUUUACAUUGAGUUUGUGUUGUAGAAUAAGAUUUGAUUUUCUUGUUGGAUCACACAAGAGCUAAUGAUGCUGUGCCUUACCUUCUAACUAUGUUGUUCUAGUUCUAGUUAAUGGAAAUGCUUUCUUUCGCAUUGACAAGCUAGUAUUAGUAUUGCCUGUCAAAACAUUCAACACUUUUACAGAAGACAAACAUUUCAUCGUCACUUUUAAUUAACCAGUCUUAUCUUCUGCAGAAAACUACUACUAUUUAGAAACUUCUGCAAGAAAAUAAACAAAAAAAAAGAGGGAGAGAAACACUGCUUACUAAUCUUGUUCCAGAGAAAAAAGAUGAUCCAAACCAACAUACAAAGGAAUAGAAAAGGUAUUUGUUUUCGAUUAACAAAAUGUGCAAGGAAAGAAUGAUCACAAGUUUGAUCUUUAAAAGUGAUAGAAGACGACGCACUAGUGGUGGAAGAAAAAGAGCUCUUCCCCAAUAUAUACCAAAUCCUACUAAUCCAUUUGACAAUAGCUAGCACAAAAAAAGGUGAUUCAAAACGAUAUAUGUAUACACACACACACACACACAGAGGAGUAGAAAAUACUAAGUUGAAUUCAAACAAGCUUCUAUUCAGCUGGAGCCAUUGAUUCCAAUGGGCUGGGGUGUUCCAAAUAGAGCUGAACUCGUAAAGGAUCGCUGCUCAUCGACUUGAUAGGAGUUAUCUGCGGAGGCUGCAUCCACUGCUUCGUGUCCGUCGGAAUCCACAACUGCGCUUCCUCAGUGCUCUCCGAAGGAAGCGCAUGGAAAUAUGCGGUGAUCUCCCAACUACUACCUACACAAAUAACAAGGCGAGAAAACGAAAAAAUGUUAGCCAAUCCCUUUGGUUGCAUUUAGUAAUAGAUAGUGCCUUGAAAUGGUAAUCUAAUAAGAUAUGUACCAGAUGGGAGGGGUUUAGUGAGGGGUUCAGCAACAGUAAGCUUAACCAGGAAAGCCCUCAGAGCAAACUCAAGGUUCUCCUCCUCUACCUUGGAGCUGUAUGAUUGGUUCACCGUAAGUUUGAACACGAACCGCUCAACAGGUAUGCGCUCCUUGUCGUAGAAGAUGACGACCACCCUCUCAACCAACCCCUGCAAUUUGAAUGACAUGAAGCAUUUUCAUUGCUUCAGAGUGGCAGGUAAAUGCCGCAAAUGUGUUUAAGAAAAUCAAGACUCUCUAGCUAAUUCUUUUCUGCAUCAGCAAAUCUUAUGGCAUUCCAUUAUGGUUCAAAGCAGGAAUAGUUUUCGAAGGAGCCCAAACGCAAAUAUAAGUUACUUUGAUCAUUCAUUCAAAGCUCGAAGAAAGAAAAUAAGAGCGCUUGCGCGCUAUCUUUUGUGCAUAACAAUUGAAACAAAACCACAUCGCAUGCACGAAUAGUAACAACUACAAAAACAACAAGCACCUGAUCGAUCGCUGCUCAAAUUAACCAUGGCCAUUACAGCUAAUUAAUCACCAACCAACCCAAAACCCAUUAAUUGGAACUCUCAAAAAGAGUCCAAACAACGCGCGCACAGUUAAGUAGAAAGCGAAGAAAGGAAGGACCUUUUGAAUGAAAGGUCGAAGACCAUUAGUUGCGGAGUUGAUAUAGUUGGACAGUUGCGGAUGCCGCGCCUUGUGCACCACCACAUUCAUAUACCUUCUCCUCUCAAAUGCUCCUUUUCAACCCCCACACACGCAUUAACACAAACAGUUGGUGUGCAUAAAUAAGGUAAAAUGUACAGCAACCCCCUUCAGAGACACGCCAUUUUGAAUUAGACCCCUCAACAAUUAACAAUCAACAAUCAACAACUAACGAAGUUGCUAAUUUUAACGAAUUUAGAAAGUAACUUAAAUCAAAGAAAGGCCUAGCUCAAAAUGGCCUAAAGUUGAGGGGUUCUCCAUACACCAUUACACAGAAAACAAAAUUUAAAAAAAGAAGCCUAAAAAUUGUUUAUAAAAAGAAAAAAAAAAUCUAAAUGGGUACCGGGAGGAUAGAACCCUUUGAGGAAAACGAUGGAGGUAAUUGCCACUUCAAGGAACUCCACUAAUAUCCGAGCCGUUUCUCCUACGAUUUGGUAAAACGUAAAGGAUUCAAAAAUAAAAGCGACUCCUGUUACCACUAAUUAAGGAAGGGGGUGGUGAAAAAUUGGUGAAAAUGAGGGGAGUAAAUUGGGAAAAAGGCAAUUGUAUUAGUAUUACCUUGAGGAGAUUGGUUCUUACGGUCCAUGACGCUCCACUUGGAUCUUUGUUUAAGGAAUUGUCAAAUUUAAGUAACGAAAAUAGCUUCGAAUGAAAAUUAGUAAAAGUUGAAAAGGCCAGCAAAAUAUUUUUCUUGUGGAACAAGUCUGCCACGUCAUCAACAACCACCAAUGAAAACCCAACACAUCAGAGAAAUUGUUGUCGGGAGAAAAAGCUGUUUCCUUUUCAUUGGGUUGGGCCUACAGACCCGGUGCAGAGGAAAUAUUCUUCGGAAGCAGGCUUACGGAUCCAGAUCCGUUAUGGACCAUACCCGGAUCCAUUAACUGCAGAUACUUUUUCAUCGGGUUAGGCCUACAGACCCGGUGCAGAGGAAAUUUCUUUGGAAGCCAGGCUUACGGAUCCAGAUAUGUUAUGGACCAUACCCGGAUCCAUUAACCCUUAACCGCAGUCGGUCGGGGCGCAUACUUUGGAUUAAUUCGGAGCCAUUAGAUUGGUGAUUAGCGGGGACUAAUUAUAAUUUUAUUAAAUUAAUCAGGAUUAGACCGAAUGAGUAGACCGCGAGGCGGUGCUAUAUAUAGGCCUCGUUAAGGCGGUGACCGUAGCGCGCCGCCUCGUGAAGGAGAGAAAAAAAGGGAGAGAGAGGGGGGAGGAGAGACGAAGACGACGAAGACGACUCAACCAUUUUCUCCUCGUCUCCUCCUUCUCCUCCUCUCUCUAUCGCUUUAGUCGAGCUCCUCUCUUCCUCCUCUGUGCCCUUGAUCGAGCUUUGAGUGCUUUGAUCGCUAGAUCGGGCUAGUUUGCGGCGGAUCUGUUUAGAUCGAUCUCCAGAUCUCGAGGUCUCGUAAGAGAUCCCGCAAACUAGGGCUCUUCGCUGGCGAUUCCUUGGUAAGAGGAUGAGAUCCAUGGUGAAUAGUGUGUUGUUUGAUUGUGUUUGCAUCGGAUCGGGGUUUCGUAUGCUAGAUCUGUAGUAUAUCACAUUUGUAUUCCAUUUCGAUCGGAUAUCUCGAACGAUCCGAUGAGUACUUUGUGUCUUUCUUCGCUGACUGCUGGGAUCUCGUGUUCUCGUGCGAGAUCGUGCGUACUAGUGUUCGUAGGGGGCUAUUUCUUUGUAAUAAGAAGAGAUUUCUAGUCGAUCGUUCUAUUUUUUUUGUGAUCACCUUGGAUCUGUGGUUCCUUAUCCUAGAUUUACUGCUAUACCCGAUCUCUUCUGGAACAGAAGCUAUUCUGAGGUUCUCCUUUGUGGAUGGUGUCUACUGCCCUCAUUUCCCUAUUCAAAUUGAUAGCGCGGAUGUGGAAUAGUCGUGUUGUUUCAGCUCCAUGUUAUGGAAGAUGUCGUUGAUGAAUUGCUUCAUAGAAUCAUUUGAAGGCCUUUGUGGUGACAUAUCCGACUUGCGUUUGAUCUCUGCGUUUGAGCGUGUUCAUAUUUCCGAUCUCCCUGUCUCCUUUUUUCAACGUAUAUGGCCUUUUCAUUUCCUACAAGGUCAGCUUUUGCGUUCGCUGACUAUAAGUUUAUUUGACCGCGCUUCUACUCUCAAGGAACUUAUAUCUCAUCGAUACAGCUUCUUUUGAUAUUUCCUAGUGGGAAAAUGUAUUCGACCGUCAUCUGCAAUUGCGUUUUAUGGUUUUUCUGAUCACCGGAUUCUUUUGAAAAAUUUGCCCAAAGCUGUGAUUCCUUUCCCUUUUAUGCCUCCUUUGUUCGAGUAGUUGCUUGAAAAAAAUUAAUUAACUGUCUACUCUUGUGUGUUCAGGUAAACAAAUUAGAAAGGAUGGAGAGCUGCCGUCUUAGGUCCAGUGGCAUUGGGCAAUUAUUCACGGAGUGCGCAACCGACACGAGAUGUUGGCAGAACGGUAGCCACUCGGUUCCAAGGGCUGAUAUUCUAUGUCCUGAACCUCGCUGGGCCACAAGGGCUCCUGUGGCUGUAGAUAAUCUCAGCAGAUUCAGUUCCAAGUCGAGAUGGUAAGCUACUUGCAACAGUUGUUUUGGUUGAAAUUUUUCAUCAUAAACUGUAUGGAUUUAAAUUCUAUACUUGUAAGUUCAAUCUCGAGAAGCAAUUGGCUCGCCUAAUAUAAGCGUAUGCCAUUUUAUAGCAUAAAAAGUGUUCUAUAUUAAUUGACAUAGGUAGCGUGCAGCCUCCAGAUUUUUGGACCAAGGAAGUUGGAUCGCUUGUUGAUGGCUUACUAGCUAGUUUCGACUGUAGCUGCUUUUAGAUUUUGUGCAUUCUACUACCUGUCAGUCUAAUAAUUGGUCCUUUUCUCUAACAUGUGAAGAGGACAUGUACAUAAGCGUAGGGUUUUUCAUGUCAACUGCCUCAUCCUGGAUUUUUUUUAAAAAUAAUAAUAAUAAUAAUAAUUUUUGGUCGCUUUGGGUGCUAGUUUCCUUGCCAGUACUACUAAGCAUGACAAUCUAAAGAAAUAGAGCUAUUAAAUUGUAGCCUCAGAAAACCCUCAGAAGUUUACCUGAGGGGAUUCCAUGUUGUGGAAAAGUGAUCUGUUGUUUCCGUGUAGUAACUAGUAACUCUGACUCUGUUUUUUUAAUUUCUUACAGCUUAGAGCCUUUGCAGAAAGCGGAAUUGGGUCUUGGGAUACUGGAUAUUAUUCUCAGCAAGGUACUUCUCUAUCCUCCCAAUGCUUAUUCCUUCAUUAUUAUAUCCAAAGUAAAUAUUUACUGUAACCCCUUUACUUAUUUGCUUAUUUAUUUAUGUAUUUUUGUGAAUUUCAGAAUGAACCUGAGGAUGCUUUUGACAUUGAUGAUGAAUCUCCUUUCUUCUCCGGCUCACCGCCAGAACGAACGACUAACCCGAUAAUCCGCGACCCUAAUUUCGUUAACCAGAGUUCAUCGACGGCGUCUCCUAUCAAACCUUCAUCUAGAGUACACAGAGGCUCCCCAUCCUGCGCUCCCGCCUUCAGCACAAACCCGAUACGGAGAAUUGAAGGCUUUUCCUGCAACGAAUCGGACAACCACCGCAUAGUCUCUGCCCAUGCUUAACCGACAACAGCCGCUGACCAUCAAAAUCCCUGUUUCUACUGUAAAUUUUGAUGUUAAUAGUUCUCCUCUUACAAUUUCUGUUCAUAGAGAAUAGUGUGUCUUUGCUUGUACAUAGGCCUGAGUCCGAGUUACAUAUAUGCACAUAGAAUUUACCCGUGUGUUUUCGUGUGAGAGAGAGGGAGUUCCAGUGCGAAGAGUUUUUUUUUUUUAACCCCUGCAUAAUACCGUGUAAAAAGGAGAUUUUGUGUAUACUUUUCUUUUUGUUUUUUCAUUUUCUUAAAGUUGUACAUACCUAAGAUCAGCUCUAUGUGAAUAUGGGAAUGCAGUAUUAUUACUUUUUAUAUGCGAUAUAUUCGUUGCGUGCGGACCUUAGCUUCUGGGUUGCUUCGUCGGACCGUUGUUUUAUUUAUUAUGAGUAGCAGUCCACAUCCUUCAUUGUUCUUCAACAUGUAUAUAUAAUAUGUUGUCGUGUCCACAUCCUUCAUUGUGUCCACAUCCUUCAUUGUCUUUCAACAUGUAUAUUAUAUAUAAUAUGUGUCGUGUCUCUAUGGCAUCAUUUGUGGCCACGUUGACGGUGAUCACUUUUGCCUUCAUUGUUUUCAAUUUGUAUGUGUUGUGUUUCUUUGGCAUCAUUUGUGGCCACGUUGAGUGAUCACUUUUGCUUUUCUUUUUUUUUUCCCUUUUUUUUUUUUUUUGCGCCUUAUCUCAAAAUUCCUGAUAAAGUUCAAACAUCUUUCAACGGCGUGUGCGAGUUUGCAUUUUACACUAUGCCGUAUAAAGGGUACCGUUGGUAGGCAUCUUUUUGUAGUUCUUUUGUAAGAAAGAGAAGUUAAUGCAAACCUGAGAUCGGAUUAAUCUUUUUCUUUUCCCUUUUUUUUUUUUAUUUAUAGAGUUUCACUAUAAUUUGUGAUUGUACCCUGCUCACUGUAAGCUAUUAUUAUGUGUUUUCACGGUACCGCAACAAGUCCCUACUACUAUAAAAAAAAAGUAGUUUGUUUGUUUGUUGAAUAUUUGGGAAGAGAGAGCGUAAUGGUACUGAUUUUUAAAGCAUGUAAUAUAUGUAUAAAUUAUUGUCAGUACAUCAUCAACCACUAAUAAUAUUAAAUAUGUUUAUUUAAUAUUGCCAUGCAUGCAACUGAAAAUAUGCUGCUAUGCAAGAUCAAGGUGUGUAAAUUUUAUCAAAGCGAGCCAAGCAUCUUCUCCGCAGGAAAGGUGUCCGAGGAGUUGGUUGGCGACAGCUGAUUUCAUUUGGACGGCCGAGUUGGAGAGAUUUGGCCGGCGAUCGAGUUUGGAUCUUUCGGGGGGAGGGAGUUGACUGCAGCUUCAGACUUUGCGUACGCGUGCACUCUUCAGCUCUCCGUCUGCCCCUUGUCAUCAUCAAGUGUUGAGAUAUUUUGCAGCAAUUAUCUAUCCCAUAAUAAUAAUAAUAAUAUUAACAAUUAAUUCGUAUUGUGCAUAAAUUUAAAAUUUAAAAUUUGAGUUCUAAACUUUUGAAUUUAGUGUAUUUAAUUAGGGAUUUCUAGAGAGAACUUUAUAAUAAGAAGCGUAUGGGUACUCCAUCUCACCGAAAAAUACGAAGAAGAAAAAAAUCUGAAGGGGAAAGAAAAGUAAUUAAUAGAGCAUUUUCGAAACUACUAAUUCGUAGAUGUAGUAACUGAGACGGAAAAAAAACUUAAGGAGACCCGAAUAUACGACAAAAGGAAGUCUAAUAAACCAAGUCUUCUUAAUUUAUAUGCAUAAAAUAUAUAUAGUGACGUCUUGUGUGUAUAUUAAACUUCACCAUGAGGAGACAAUACGAAAAUCUAAUCCACUUUUUUGUAUAAAUUUUGAUCGAUGGUGAGAUAGUCUAAUUAUUUGGUAUGCAACACUCGAAAGUUUAAAACAGCUUGAAGAUGCAUCCAACUAUCUCACCAUGGAUAGAGAGUGCACGUACAUUCACACUUUCUUUUAUUUUUUAUUUUUUUUCUUUUGAGGAAGGUAGUCAGCUAUAUAUAUGUCUCGUUUAUUUUUUAGAAAAUAAUAAGUUCGAAUUUGAGAUUUCGAGUACUAUGAAACAAUCAUAAUAUGGACUUAAAUUAAAUAGAAGAAAAUUAAUAAUAUCAAGAGUCUGACAUGACUCGAAUUCGGAACCCCCUGCUCUGAUGUCAUGCGAAACAAUUGUUAUACUUUAAAAGAUUAAACUGUUAGAGAAUAAUAUUUAUAUAUUUUAAUAUUUAACAAGUAUAAAAUGUAAGUCCUUAGUCAACUACACUACAUACAGGCGGCGGUUGGAUAUUCCAACCGGACACGCAUGCAUGACCAUUUCUUUGCAUCGGUGACUAAAUAUUUCUUCCCGUGUUUAUCUUCUUAAAAUAAUAAAAAAGCAUCAAACUUACUCAUCCGUGAAUUAUAAAACAUUUGAUGUUGUGUCGAACACGAUGGAGCUAGCUUUCGAAUGCUGCAUCUGAAUCAAGUUUGUUAGCUUCUCAAUUGAGGAAGGUAGCAGGGAAACAGCCUUAUCCCGCCACUGGUACGUGUACAUAUAUACAUAAUAUAUAUUGACAAAUUAAAAGAAGCACAAUCUUUUUUUUUAUUUGUGUGUUACUCGCAUAUUUGUAUGGCUUUGGACCACAUGUUAUUAAUUGAAGAAUAAAGUUGGGGGAGAAGCACUUUGAGAAAAAGCUGGCCCUUUUGUCUAGCUUUCGGCUUUUGGCUUUUGGUUCUUUUGUGGGGCUACAAAGGCAUUGGAUUCUUCAGGGACAACAGAUAAAUUGAGCUGCUUGUGUUGCGACUUGUGAUUGGAUAGCAGUGGGAUCCGAAUAAGAAAAAGUUACCCGAAAUAAAAAAAAAAAGAAAGAAAGAGAGAGAGAGAGAGAGAGAGAUAUUGUAGAAUAUAUAUAAUAAGAGCUAUUUGAGAAAUGUAGAAAAAAAAUUUCUACAAUUUAAUUCUAAAAUAUGGCAAAAAGUUUGAAGUAAUUAGAUGUAAUUUAAGGUGCUGAAAUAAAAAUAAGGUUUAAUUAUAAAAGCUCCCUACAUUUUACACUCUGUAUCGUAAAUACUUUUCUGUAUUAAAAAUUUAAACAGUAUCAAUCUUGCACUUUAAUCUUGUAUCAGAUACUUUCAAUUAUUGAGGAUUCUGCUAAUUUUUGACGAAAAUGUUAGCGGUGGUGGCUUGGCGAGAUGAAGAGAAUCUCUUACGUGAAUAAUUUUGCAUAUAUGAUUUCUGUUAAAUUUUAGUAGGCCAAUUUGCAUAAAACAAUCCAUCUAUUUUGGGUUUUUGGAAAAGCGGACUAUUUUUUUUGUUUUUGCAGAUUCGGUCCGCUUUUUCAGCAAACUAAUCAAAAUACAUUUAUAUCUUUUUCUCUCUCCUUUUUUUUUUCUCAUUCUUUUUGUCUUUCUCUUCCUAGAGAAGAGCGGAGAGCCGGAGACAGCGGAGGCGGCCUAUUUCGAUUUUGUCCUGCAUAUCCUUACUCUCGUCCGCACACCCCCACCUUCCUCAUCUCCGAGGCUACAGCGCUGCAGAGACCUCCACGGUGUCCGCGCCGGCAUCAGCGCCGGCGAAGAUACAUCGUCGUUGGAAGCGGCAGAGGAGGAAGGAGAGGGAGAGAACGAGAAGGGCGGAGAAGGGCAAGAGAGGCGUCGUUGUCGGAGACAGUGGAGGAGAGUUGAAGAGAAAAAAAAAAAAAAAUCGCGGCUUGGCCUCGGCAGGGUCGGAGGCGAGGAAGGUGCGGGGGUGUGCAGGCGAGAGUAAGGAUGCGUCGGCAUAUUGUCGGCGCCGGCGAAGAUGCGUCGUCGUGGGAAGCGGCAAAGGAGGAAGGAGAAGGAGACGACAAGAAGGGCGGGGAAGGGGGAGAGAGGCGUCAUUGUUGGAAACAGUGGAGGAGUCGGAGAGGGAAAAAAAAAAAAAGUUACGGUGCGGCCUUGGCAGGGUCGGAGGCGAGGGUAAGGAUGCGCCGGACAAGCCGCCUUCACCGCUCUCUUGGAAGAGAAAGAAAAAAAGAACGAGAGAAAAAAAAAAUAGAAAGAAAAAAAUAUAAGGGUGUUUUGGUUAGUUUGCUGAAAAAACGGACCAAAUUUGCAAAAAAGAAAAAGGCGGCCCGAUUUUGCAAAAGCUCAAAAUAAAUAAAUUUUUUAUACAAAUUGGCCAUUUUAGUACUUACAGGUGUGCUUGAUGAAGAUUAAAUAUGCUUAAAGGUGUGUUAUUUCAGCAAGCUAAUGUUAAAAUAAACAAAAAUUUCUAACGGAGGGGCCAAUUUGAGACAGUCAUUAAAGUGCGGGAUUGACAUUGUCUAAACAUUUUAUAUAGAGAAAAGUACUUGAGAUGCGAAGAAAAAUGCAAGGCUUUUUUUCGAUUUAUGAUUGAGCCUAAAAGUAACGAAACUCAAAUUUUGGCAGUGGCUCACUCCCUCCAAAUUUUUUUUUUUUUUGAGAUAGGUAGGACGCUACCCACUUCGUUUAUUUUAUUUAUAAAUAAAUUUAGCUGAAAAUAUGAAUUAACUAAGAUUCGAACUAGGGUCUCAGGUACCGACCACCAAUUCCUUUGUCACUUGCUCUAGGGACGGACGGUCACUCCCUCCGAAAUUGACUUUGUCUUCGAACAGUACCAAAUCAAUUUUCAGCGACCAGCUUGUUUUUCAAGCAACUACUGGUUUACUGUAAGAACUCGUAGAGAGUGACACUGCACUUGCUUACAAACAAACUUAUAAACAAUGCUACAAACUUGCAUCUGCCGUAAUUGUUAAUUGGCAGGAAGGUGCGAAUGAAGUGCGAAGAGAAAGGGAUGAUUCAUGAGGCCAAUGAAGAAAAUCAAACCAACAAGAUGAUGACUUCAUUAAUCCGCAGAGGCUUCAAGCUGGGGAUCAUCCCUAAACCGGGAAUCAUUUUUCAGGGAGGCAGAGUUUUCCUACUAACUAUACUAGCAGUCGAAGAAGACUCUGCGAACACGAUGGAAAGAUGACUUCAACUUUUGCCUUCUUCGGUUGCAUUCCUAUCCCUCGAGUUUAGUUGCCACCGUUAAGUCUGGAACGACAAUAAAUUCAAUGAAAGAAUUCGUCGGAAAAGAAUAUAUCACUCAAACUUCUCAAUUGUUGGAACAUAUCCCUGAUCCCUGAGCUCCCAAUCCAACAAUUGUAGCAUCAUUUCCACUCUUCCAUCAUACACCUCCUCCGUCAAGAACUUCCUCGCCUCACCACCUCCCACCUCCGCCCAGCUCCAACCCGGUGGCUUCCUCAUCCCCCGCCCCCUCAUCCUCGCCCGCACCCGCGCCGCCUCAUCCCACCUCCGUGCCUUUGCGUAUAUAUUCGACAAGAGCACAUAGUUCCCCGCAUUCUCCGGCUCCAACUCCAUUAAAUGCCUCGCGGCCUCCUCCGCCACCUCAACAUUGGAAUAAGUCCUACAUGCACUCAACAGUGCACCCCACACACCGGCAUUCGGUCGAACACCCAGCGGCAUCUCAUUGGUGAUCAAUCUAUAAGCCUCAUCAAUGCAUCCUGCUCGACCUAGCAAGUCGGCGAAACACAUGUAGUGCUCCACAUUCGGAGCUAUGCAGUAUUCAUCCUUCAUAAUUUGAAAGUACCGGCGCCCCUCGGCUAGCAUACCAGCGUGGCUACAAGCUGUGAGGACCGAGACAAAACAGAUCGAAUCGGGCCUCAAUCCCGACUUCAACAAGCUAUCAAACACCUUAAUUGCGUCCAUUCCGCAACCGUGGAUGCCGAACCCGGCUAUCAUAGAGCUAUAACAAAUCAAGUCCUUGUGCUUCCACUUAGAGAACAAGUCGUAUGCUCUCUCAAGAUCUCCGCACUUUGAAUGCAGAUCGAUGAGGGCGGCCACAGUGUGAUUGUUCAAUAGUCUGCUCCCACAUCGGUCGACGUAGCCUUGAAUCCAAUUGGCCAAAUUGGGAGACCCGAAUUGUGCACAAACAGAAACAACGGUCGCAAUCGUCGAAUGGUUCGGCUCCACUUUGCCUCCUCCAUGGCCGCUUAGCAUGAGCUUGAAGAGAUCCAAAGCCUCACCAGCGGAACCUGCAUUCGAAUACGCAGAGAUCAUCGCAUUCCACGACGCGACAUCCCUCUCAUUCAUUUCAUCAAACACUGUUCGAGCGGCGGCUACGUCACCGCACUUGGCAUAGUUACUAAUCAUAGCAGUACAAACUACCCUAUCGGCCUCGCCAUUCUCUUUACACAUUUCAAAAAGCCGACGAGUGGCAUCCAUCUUACCCAACGCGGCAUACCCGCCGAUCAUCUCGACCCAAGUGAUAGUAUUCCUCUCAGGCAUUCUCUCGAACAAGGACGAGGCGCUGUCCACGUCCCCAUCAGCGGCAUAUCCCGCGACCAUAGUAUUCCAAACCUGCACAUCACCGACUCCUCUCUCGGCCAUUUCAUCAAACAGCUUACGCGCAUCGACUAUUCGGCCGCACUUCGCGUAGAAACCCAGCAAUGCGGUGAGCACGCGAGGAUCGACAUGAAACCCAAACUUAAAAACAUGGGAAUGAAUCUGGGCCCCUUCGUUUAACGCCGUUAACCGAGCUAGCGCCUUCAAAACCGCGGAUAGUGUGAACGCGAGGGGUCGACAAGUUUGGGGGCCUCUGAGCAUGCGCGUGUAAAGAAGAAGGGCUUCUCUGCAAGAAUGCGGGGAAUCGGAUUGGGCGUGGGCGCGGAUCAGGGCCGUCCAUACGAAGGCGUUGGGGUGGCGGACGGCGGAGGCGACGGCGCGCGCGUGGGGCAAGAGGCCGAGCUCGGCGGAGGCGCGCACGAGCUUGGCGGCGACGAAGCUGCUGUGGGAGUGGGCCCCGGCCACGACGACGUGGGCGUGGACCUGGCGCAGAUGACGCGGCGAGGAGCAGCGCGAGAUCAGCCGCACGAUGCGGUCCUCCUCCGCCCCGGUCCGCCGCGGGCGCAUUGAUGGACGGUGCUGAUUGUGUCGCCGUAGUGGUGGCGUUGCUGCUACUAAUCUACUACCAGUACCACCAUAGUACUAGUAUUGCUACUAUUAUUACUGGUGAGUUUCAGAGAACUAGAGUUGCUGGGGGCCUGGGGCCAAACCAAAACUUCUCUUUUUGUGUGUGAGUGUGUUCUCCGGUGACACAGUACAAUUUAUAUGUUAAUCAAAUAAGUACACUCUGCAUGAUGCAUUAUGAAAUGUACUUUCUUACCGCAACGCAAUCGGCUCGCAAUCCCAAGACUAACUGCGGCCAGAGUGAGAAAGUCUUUCAAAAUACAUGUUAGAGAAAAGACUCUUUCACUCGCAAACCACAAACAAAAUUUACAAUGCCAACAGUAUUUUCCAAUGACAGAAAUGCAUUCAAAGGCACACCGACAUGAACACCACUUUCGUAGUUGCACCGUGAACAAGUCAACCAGUUACCGAGAACGGUAGCAAAUGGAAGCAAAGUAGACUCUAUAAGAGAAUCAAGGUUUCGAGCACAAUAAUUCCACCCCCCCUAAAACCAAUUUAAUCACUCGGUUAGAGUGAGAAUUAAUCAACAAAUCAGUGACAAAACCUUCCCAAAUCAAAUCCCCAACAACAACGCCACGAGGGCGAGGCGAAGCAACAUAAACAUACAACAACACAUCACCUUUACAAACAAUCCAACUCUGCACAUGAAACACCACCUGAGGGGAGGAAGAGUCAUCAAGAACACCAACUACUUGCAAAGUGAAAUAGCAAUCAGAUCUCUCUUCUUCGCAGUCCGAUCUUAAGCAAGUUUAGUUGCCUAUUUAGCCGGGCUAAGUACGACUAAUUCAAGGACGUUCCUCGAUCUUUUUCCUAUCCGUAAAUCCAUGCUCCAUUCCGAACUCAGCAGCCAAUGCCUCUAUAUCGUUAGUAAUCUCAUUAUUCCCCUUCUGGCCCACCAAGCCCAAGCGCGGAGGCUCGGGCCCGCACCUCUCCAACCCAGAAGCACUUCCGAACUGGCUUUGUAAAUCUUCCAGCUCUUCUGCUGCCACUGUUUGGCGUUUUACCCCCAUCUCUAAAUCAAUGCUCCUUUUGGGCAUGUCGGGGCUUAGUACCCGCCCCAUGGAGUGUGAGGAAGUGAAGGCCGCAGAGUCCUCUUUCACCUUUGCUCGGAAAUCGUUCUUGGAACUGGGAAUUUCGGAGACGAAGGUUUCUCUAAUGUUUUGAACCAGUCCUCGAUUAUAAGGGUUGUUCUUCCCGUCGUAGCGGUAUCGGAAGUUCUCAUAAGUAGUCUGUAGAGAAUUUAUACAAACUAUAAACAAAGAAAUAAUGCAAGAAUUAUGUCAAUGUAGCCGCUUUAUCCGAAGGCUACGUUUGUUGCAGGGAUGGUAAAGGGAUAACUUUAGAUAUCCCCUCUAUUCUGCCCAUUAUUCUACCAAAUGCCACAAAACUUUUUGAGGGAUUAGUAGAGUUCAUGUCCAACCAGGCUACCCAAGAAUAGCCCCACAAGAAAAAUUACAGCUUUCCCUGAAACAAACUUUUCAAAUAAAUUUAUAACGUGGUUUUAAUGAUAAAGAUGACAACCUGAUUGGUGCAGAUAAGAUAAAGGUGAAAUGCCGUCAACCCUCCAACAAACCAAACCACGACAAACGUAUAGAAGAUGAGAAUGCCAGAGACUGGAGACUUCAGAAGUGCUUUCCCAAGAUUACAUUCAUGCGUGCCCAUUAUCUUCGUGAGGUUAACCCAGCAAAAGGCAAACACAUAUAGACAAAGCAAAGUUGUGGAGGAGACAAACAUAAAAAAGAAGCGGUAAUUCCUCUGCAUGAUAAGAAAUAAACUGUGAUUGAGCAUGAAGUAAUACAAUCAAUAUAUCAGAUUAUAAUUUCUCAAUCAGUUUUGAGUACUACAGGCAAGCAAAAGAACAUGGCAAAUAAGAAAAAGUAAAAGAGAGAAACAGACUACUUCCUCCCUUGAGAAGAUAGCAAACAUUAAGGAUACAGUUUUCACAGAAUUAAGCACAAGAUUAUAUAGAUCGCCAGAAAAUAAAUAAUAAUUAAAUAUGAAUUACAGUCCUGUCAGACAAUGAAUUAGGUAAAACAGAAAUAAUAAAUCAAAUAGAUAGAAUUUUUAACAAGAUAACAUUUUCUAUCUUUACUUAGUGAUAGCAGACUCAAACAAAAAUUCAUGUGAAGCACCAAAUAAUGGCAUUUGGUAGGUUCUGUUUCUAUGAGCCAGGCUUACUAGGACCAAUUUCUUGAAUUACUUUCCAUACUCAUAAAAAGGCCAACCCAAAUGUGUAAACCAAGUGAAAAUUAUACAACUGUGUUAAGUACCUUUCCAAUGCAUUGGCCGACCCAGGGACAGUGAUGAUCAAAGCGCUCGACACAAUUGUUGCAGAUAGAGCAGUGGGAGCAUCUGGGUGGACGAUAUAACAUGCAUGUAUGGCAAUACUUAACCUUGACAACAACACCAUUCACAAGGAUGUCCUUUGUGGGCGGUAAGCUUUGAGCACCGUGCUGACUCCCCGGCCAGUCUGCAGAUAUAUUGGAGGAUUCACCGACAUCCUCUGGUUCUGGAGGAUGAGCAUUUCGGGGUACGAUGCCAGGGUCCCUACCAGAUGUGAGAAGAAGAAGAGAGAGGAUCUGCACGAAUUUGGAAUCAGAAGAAAAGGCUAUUAGUUUUCUACUAUGUACAAUAUGUGAUUUUGGAGAAGCUCAAAAUUAUUUCAGCACCGAUUAUUCUCUGACUAAGAUGUUAGCACAAGUUUUUCGGAGAUUUCUUGUUAUUUAAGCUUGUGGUGUAUGGGGAUUUCCCUUUGUGAUUACAAUCUAGGAGAUGUUUGCUAUUGUGAGUCGGAGUUAUCCAACUUUUCAAGAUAAUUUGUCCGACCUACGAUAUGAUUCAUCAUAUUCAGAGAAAAUAGUUCACAAAUAUUUUCAUUCUUCCUAUCAACCAGGUACCAUGUCCCUUGAGUAAACAAGGGAGAUGAGGCUGCUUAAAAUGCUACCUCAAAGGAUUACAAAGACACUCACAUUCAUUAUCAACUCUUAUCUCCUGCAUCUAUAUGAUAGUGCCGAAUCACUGGAACGGCAACAAGAACAUAGAAUGGCCUAACUUCUUAGUACCAGUUUAAGUAGUAAGGACUGGAGCAACUAUCGAACAUUCUCCUAGGAUGUUAUAUAUACUCAAUCAAAUAGCUGAUAAAAAAAAUUUGAACUAAAAUUAGUGACGUAGUACGACAGUUUCUAAAUGAAAAUUCUAAAUUUCAGAUACUAUAGAGGCAAAUAUUUGAAUAAAGUGGAUGCAAGCUUACGUAUGCUGUGAAGACGACAGCUAUGACUACUAUCAGAUUUCCCAGGUUGUGAUGAAACUCGUCAACCAGCUGUUGUGAAACAAAUACAGCAAACAAGACUACUGGAACUACAAUUAAAAAUAUUGUCAGUAUCAGUGACCUCACAUCUGGUCCAAAAAUAAGCCUCCCUCCCAGGAAAAAUCUCUGCACAGAAAAAAAAGAAUAACAAAUAGAUUUCAUUCAAAUGGUUGCAUUAAUCAAAGUAUCAGCUAUCACAUGACUCGCCAAAUUCAAAGCUAAUUUCAUCAGAGAAACAAAAGCAAUGCAUUUGACUUUCUUUCUACAAACUGAAAAAGAAGAUAAUAUGUCUAAGGAAAGAUUUUUUUUCUUUUUUUUUUAAGGCACAGCUUGCAGAAUCAUUGCUUAACCUACACUUUUCGUAGUCUCAACACAACUCAAGUUGACUCAAAUCAGCUCUUCAUCCCCACGUUGUGUAGUGUAGGGUGAGCUGUAUGAGUCAUCAAAAGAGACAAAGUUUACUUUUACGAAAUUCUCUAUUGCUGCUCAAACCAAUUUUUAACUAUGAAAUCUAAACGAAGUGUGACUUUCCUAAUCACCUCCAAUCAUAUCAUUUUGGGUCUCUUAUCAUUUCGCAUCACUUACCUGGAUUGUUUCACUCAUACAAAUAAGAGCAUCUGUAUCUAAACAUCGUACGUAAUUUUGUCAUUUUAAAUGACUCUUUCCCACUUUGUUGUCAAUGGAAGCACUCCGUAUGAACCGAACCUCUGCGUCCUUCACCAUUCCUUUCUUGCAACACCUUUAAAUCCUCAUCUAAGCUAAACUCAUUUAAGGGCAUGUUGUUUUCAGUGGCUCACCAAUGCCAUUCUACAAAGCAGCUUGGCGCAUGGUAUUCUAGACAUGAAAUGGAAUACAACGUGCACAUAUUUACACCAGCAAAUGCUAGAUAAAAAAGCAGGAUGAACAUUGAGAUGCAGAAGGGUUAAAGAUAGCGAUGAAAACAGAAUUGCUUAAAAUGAAAGCAUGAAAGCUACUUCCUGGAAACGUAUGAAAAGAUACAACCAACUAUUAUGUGGCACUCUAUGUAGGGUAUUCAAAGAAGUGCGAUGAAAAUGGUAAAAGAUCUUAAACAAUAACUACAUUACUGAAAGUAGCCAUAAGCUGUUUCGCAGAUAAUAGUUGCUCGUGUUCAUUAUAUACUAAUAACAGCUGCAACAACUAAGAUGCAGCUUCACUUAUUCCUCUGCAAGAUAUUAUCAAGCUAUAUUCGUCAUACCAUCAUAAAUUUCACACUGAGAAUGAUUUAUACCCACAAAAAUCAAAUCAAAAAAUAGUUUUUGAAAGAAAAUGCAGAUGAUCUCACAUUGCUUCCUUUCCACACUUGAUACACCCUCUUCGAUGCACCGUUCGUCUCUAUGAUCCUCCGAUUUGAAUCGGAGAGCUGCGGCGGCGCAGAGGAAUACAUCUUUCCCUGCAUCCUAAAACGACAACAACACCACGUCCACUCUCCUCAACAAAAUCACCACAUGGAUCUCCAUCACCAGCUUCUUCUGCAUCACAAAUCAACCACAUAAAACAUGAAUUCAAAGAAAUUUGAUGAAAAUUAACGAAUGGCAUUACAAAAAUGCGAGAUCACGCGAUUUAGAGCACAAACAACCAAAAAUAUUCGAGAAAUUCCGAAAAGCUCACCGAAAUGGAGCGCGCAUUGUAGAGAGAGCAACGUGGAUCGAAAAAUGUGGCGUAAAAUAAGGGGAAAUUGGAGAAAAAUAAAGAAAAUUGGGUAAAUCUGUGUAGAUUUAGAAGCACUUUAUUAAAGGGAAAGUGAGGAAGGAGUAUGGCAUGGGAGUGUCUAAUAGCUCGGAGAAGAGAGUGGGGGGGGGGGCGGGGGGGGUGGGGGGGGGGGGAAGAGAGAAAGUUACUAGAUUCGGGUCCCACCACUCCUACAAACCCUAACUUCAGGUUCCGUGGAACAAUUAUUGCUUGGACCGCGGUCUAUAGAACUGCGUCUAUGAAACAACAGCUGAGGGUGCGGCAAUUCAAAGGUCAACUUACUUAUGGUAGUUUGUUGAUAUUCUCUAUUUUUUCAGUACCUUACUACGUUGCGUGGUUAGAAUCACGCUUUGUGCGAGAAAUAUUUAUCAUAAUUUAUAAAUAAUCUUGUCUUAAAGUAAUGUAUAUAUAUAUGUAAUUGAUAAUACACAUAAUUAAAAUUUGUCUUUACUAAUCACAUUGAAGGAUCAAAAAUAUAAAGGUUUGAUUAAAGAUAACACAAUAAUUCCAAAAUAAAGUCAAUUAUCACUCAUUUAUUCUAAUAGAAAUAUUUGAUUGAAUAUUUAAUUUUUAUUUAUUAUAAAAUAAAUUUGAUAUAACUUUGUGCUAGAAAUUAACAAUAUUAUUCAGCAGCAGUGAAGAUGAAUUUGCAUCAUCAGCAUUUUCGCCACUAAUAAUGGGCAAAAAAAUCCCCCGUGUGUAGAGAUUUUAGGAUACGAAAAGUGUAAAAAAACUGCGCCCCGUAUCUUCCAACAGAGAAGGACUACUAUAGUAAUAGGAGGACUUUCUCGGUCUAUAGACCAUGGUCCAUGCGAUAAUUUCUCAGGAGCAAUAACGGAAUAGAUCGAGUCACCUCCCGUGAACUCAUCGCGAAACCAAACCAUCGUACUUAGCGGAUCGGGCCGGGUGACGUUAUUACUGGUUAGAGAAUGUUGCGCGCACAAUGCGGCCCAUUUAAAGCUACGGACAGAUUUGUUGCCUGGACCCGGUCCACCCACAUCAGCCUUAAACCAGCCCAUUUCUCCUGUGUCCGGAUUAUAUGCGUCAUUACUGAAUCUGACUUUUAAGCACCUCUACUCUAACGACUGGUACUUGAAUUGUAGAUCACCUCACACAGUACAGUACUGUACUGUACUGUACUGUACUGUACUGUACUGUACUGCAACCAACAAAAGAGGGGGAUUUUAUUAGGUAGAGCGAUGCAUGCUAGGCUGUGGAAGUGUGGAGUGACCAAGGCAAAUGUACACUCACUAGUUUUCACUUCCAACUGUAUCCAGGAAAAGUUAAUUAAUACAAGGAAACCAGUUCCCAACCGAUCAAUCAACCAUAAUCUUACACUUUAAUAUUCAUCUGAAGCUUGAUUCAAUCAUCUCUAUUGCAAAAAGAAUGUCUCCAAAUCUUCUUUUUUUCUUUAAAAAAUGAUAACGUGGAAUUGAAAUGUUAGCUUCGUAUUGACAACAGACCUAUAUAUUAGACCCCUACUCAGAUCCGCAUUCUAGUAAAUCUUGUAAUGUUCCUGGGCUGCAGAUUGGAACUGGGUCAUGUUCCAUUUUUUGAUCGGGUAACUGGAUUCGAGCAACUAUUCUAUAUUUUGUGGUUUUGGUAUCUGAUCGAGGGACAGAUUUUCAAAGUAGAGUUAUUUGGCGGGAACCUUAGUGAAACAUCUUUCCGUCAAUAUCCUUUCUGAAGCUUCCGGCGACCCUGACACACACAAAAUUAAGUGUUAGUUCCGUUGCAGCCUCUGCUUCUCGGAUUCGAAGAUCCGUUAUUCAGGUUUUCGAAUACCAGCCAUUUGUUGCUUGCGAGAUGCUGUGCUCUCGAGGUCGAGCCAAAUAUACUCCUAAAUUUUCCGAUCUAGCUCAAAUCCUUUUUCGAGCUUCGAGGAAAGGCUAGCUAAGCUCAGACGAGUUUUUUUGUGUCACUGAUGCUAUUCUGGAUCAUUUCGGAUCUAACAUAGUGCAUGUUACUCCUAUCUAGCAUGGUACUCAACAUUAAUUUGUUUAAUUAGCCUAUGAGUGCUAAUUAAUGGUGUAAAAGAUCAUUGCUCUGAUUACUUGUUGAACCUCUUCCGCCAGUUGCAGGCAUAUCUCUCGGCAAUCCGAAGUCGCGUACGUACGUACCCCAAUUUUAUCAACCUUAAUCCCAGACAAUUGGUUCGUUAACUGGUAUAAAAAUGGUAAUAAUGAUCGUCCCUAGUGCAGGUGGUAAAAAAUUUGAUAAUUAGUACAUGAGAUCCCAAGUUCGAAGUUUAGUAAUAUAGCAAGAAUAAUUCUGCAAUUUUGUACACAAUCAUUAGGUCUAACGAAUUGCACAUCAUCUAACACGAACAGCUGGCCUAAGUUUUUUCCUUCUUUUUUUUUUUCUUUUCUAUUUAAUUUCUAUUUUCUAACUUUUUUUUUUUGGAAUCAAUUGCCCACCAAACGACAAUGAUGUUUCCAGCAUAUAACAUGGAAGUUUGUUCCCUUAACAAAAGAUGCGUGUGAGAGUUCUCCUCCGGCCAUGGUUGCAAGAAAUUCUUACAACGGAUAUGUGGCUUUAAUCUAUUGGUUACUUCGACUAAUCCGAUGUAAUGUAAAAAAUUAUUGUUUAUUCGAUCUCGCUGUAAGUGUCGCCUGAUGAAGUGUUGUCUAAAUAUGAUAUAUAUUGAAAAAAAUGAAAUAUCAAAAUGCCUUUAGCUGUUUUUUUCUACAAUAGUGACGAUUUGAAACUUCUGAAUUGAAAGCUCAGAAUCUCGUUAUUUUUUCUGUUACAACUUAUUUUCCUAAUUUAUCGAACACUCGCUAAAUUUUUUCGUUGCUGGUGAUGAAAACUGAAAGCAGAAGCAAAAAUAGCGUCAGAUAGAAAUUUCACAGCCAGGAAUUGGAGAGGAUCAGCUGCCUUGCGUAGGUGGGCAAUUGCAAAACCUGUAAAGCAAGCAGAGGAGAAGUGCUUCUCUAACAAUAGACUCAUUCACUGCCCAAAAGCAUGGAUUUGAAUUACUUGCUCACCACUCCAAGUUUCCAACCCCCACCAAACCAAACAUGUUGGACCCACAAAGAAAAAAAGACCAAACUCUGAAGAAAUAUUAAGUUACAUAUGUAAACACACCUGCAAAACUACUAGCUAGCAAUUUUUAUAUAUAAUCCUGUAAAAUCGAAAUUUUGGUUCCAUGAAAUAUGAUUUGCGCCCAUUAAACUAGAGUCCAAAACCAUUUAUUAGGAAGUUACAUUGCAUCACUUUGAGAGCACCCCCUCACCAAACACCUAUAUAUGUGAUGAUGAGAGCAAACAUGUAGAGUACUACGUCAAGCAAUUAUAUAUCUGAUUAAUGAAACAGGAUAUAUAACUCAGCUUAUAUUAUAAAGAAGAGAAUCUCAACAAAGAAAAACUAGAGGCUUGAAAAAGAUAAUAACAAUAUUAAGUGCCUGUUUAUGUGUAAUAUUUGUGGUUGUGUUUGAAGGGGAUAUUUGAAAAAGAGAGAUCGAGAGACUGUGUGUGAAUGCCAACACAUAUUUUACAGCAAACAGAAUUAUUAUUAAUUUCGACAAUACAAAUUAACAAAUAGAUACAUGAUGGGUGGGUGUCGCAAAAACAAAAAAAAGAUACAACCCAGCACUCCACACAAUUAAACUCACAAUUAAAUUUCUAGGAGUACUGAUCACCAAUAGUACUCCUCCUAAUUAACUAUAUAUAUCAUACCAACAGACAUCUACAUAUCAAUAUUUAGAUACAUUAAUUAUAGGAUAGAUGAAUUAAUGCCCAUGAUGCAGUAAAAAUAAAAAAAGAAAGAAAAACAGAAAUUACAUCAACAAGCCCUGAUCAAUUAAUCCCUAAUAUCCAAAACCAUAGGGAUCAUAACACACAAGCACACAUAAACACGCAUGCAUGCAUGCAUAUAUAGAUAUAUGCACAUAUAUAGUACGUACGUACGUAGCGUACGUAGGUAUGUAUAUAUAGAUGUAAUUUAUGUCCCUCUCGCGAGCAUGUGCUGGUACUCCUCCUGAUACUCAAACAAGGCGAUGCGUCUCUGUGCGCGCAACUGCUCGUAGAAUCUCCUGAUGAACUCCUCCGCCUCGUCGUCGACCUCCCCGUUGUCUCCAUCUUUGACCUCCUCCUCCUCCUCCUCCUCCUCCUCCUCCUCAUCAUCAUCAUCAUCAUCAUCGGAGUAGUACUCCGAAAUCCGAACCGAUGUCGGCGAGGGGCUGCGCCUCUCCCCGGGAGCGAAAAGCUCCUCCGCUAACAGCGAUGUUGUUGCCGUCGUCGACGAUGACGACGACUGCGGCGAGUACUCAAUUCUCUUCUGCGCCGCGGGAGCACAAGGCCACGAAUGUUUGUCCUCCUCGUCCUCUACGACUGCGUUGAGGCAAGGGAAGUACGCGUGGCGGCGCCCGCGGAAAAAAACAGGAUUGGGGCUGUUGCUGCAGGAGAACUCGUACUCGCGCAUAAUCGUCAUCGUUGUUGCCGCAAUACUCUGCGACCGCUGAGAAUGAGGGUGGUGGUGGUGGUGGUGGUGGUGGUGGUGGAAGAUGAGGUUGGUGAGGGACCUCCCGAGGAUUUUGUUGCCUCUCUUCAUGAAGAGGUUCAUGUCUAUGAGGAGUUUGCGUUUGUUGGAUACGAGGCCCUUGCGCAUCAUGAAGAACACGGCGCGGAGGUAGCUCCAUAGCUUCUUCGCCGCGGUGGGGGAGUGAAGUUCCAUGAUAAAUUCUAAAUGUUUAUGUAUAAUUAUAUAUGUAUAUAGGUACGCAGUAUGAUGUGGGAAAGUUGUUGUUGUUAAAUAGAAGCUCUCUAAAUUGGUCUUCCUAUUCUUCUUCUUCCUCUGAUUCUUCUUCUCUGUGAGGUGGGCGAGACACCUCGCAGAGAAGAGAGAAGAGAGAGAGAGCCCCUUUAUGAGAAGGGGAAGGAGAGGGUGAGAGGUAGGUGUUAUUUAUAAGAGGAGGAGGAGCCGAGGAGGAGGGUAGAUCUAGGGAGCGUUGGGGUGGAGGAGAAGGCCAUUAAUGUAUCAUUAAUUAAUUAAUUAAUUAAUUAACUGGGUUAAUUAAUUGCACUGUUGGGUCUUUGGUUAGUUUUAUGUAAUUUUUAAUUUACUUUUUAUAAUUGAGUACUUUAGACUAUUAGUUGUUUUAGUUAGGUCUCUUCAGUUGAAAGAUUAAUUAGAUAUGAAUGCUUUAGGAUCUUACAUGUUGUUGAUAUAUAUAUAUAUAUAUAUAUAUAUAUAUGGAUCUCAAUUCAGAUUGUAUGUAUAAGUCACUUAAAAUUUUGUAUAUCAUAUAUAUCAAUUCACCAAAGAUAUAUUCGAUAAUAUAUAUUAGCAUAUUCUUAUACACAGAAAAUUUCUAUACAUAGAAUAGAAUAAUUUUAUCUAUCAUCGGCAGGAUCAUUUCGUACAUAAAAAAUUGUUGCUAAUGUAAUAUGCAUGGAAUACUGAAUAGUGCUUUUGGUCUAGAAUAACGUAUUAUUUGAUGGAAGAAGCUUAAUUAAUGCAAUCAAUAAAUAUUAGUUAAGAACAUAAUAUAUAGUACUAAAGAUUAAGAACAAUAUUUAAUUGAUCAACAACCCAAAUAAUUAAAAUAGGAUAAAAGCUUCACACACAGACAGAGACACAUAGAGAGAGGAAGGUGGUGGUGGGGACGUACGGGGGACUGCUACUUUUCUGAAAAGGCCAGCGCAACCGCUGCAGCUCCGCGUCUCAGCAAAAGAGAAAUAGACAAGGAUAUAAAGUGAGAGAGGGGCUCGAAGUCGACCGUUUGAAAAUUCAAAUCCCAGCAGCAAGGAUUCAAAUUCACAUUUUUCGAGAAUCCUGCGAGAAGCUAUCAUGCAAGUGAAUAUUAAUUUCAGAAACUAUAUAUAUAUAUAUAUAUAUAUAUAUAUAUAUAUAUAUAUAAUUUUUAUAUAGCAUUAAAUUAACUUAGAUCUUCCUGUUAUACAACUUACUGCUGAUUUAGAUUCCCUGUCAUUUUAAAAAACUGUUGUGAACAUGGCGCUCAAGUACACACGGGCUACAAAUACAUUAGUCUCUUCUACUGUUCGGGCUGAUAACUAAACGGUUUGAAAUGUCACUAAAAUACAUUUCUUACGGUGAAAAAAUAUGAUAAAGAAAAAAAAUAUAUUACAAUUGUUUUCAUAAGUUGUAACACAAUGUAAAAAUCACACUAAUUCAGGUAAGAUAAUAAUCAUAAUAAAAAAAUUAUAAAAAAAGCAUAUAUCUCUAUGUGCUCCAAAAAAAAAAAAAAACUAGCAUAUAUACUCUAUCUCUCUCUCUCUCUCUCUCUCUCUCUCUCUCUCUCUAUGUGCUUAAGUCUCAAUUUUUUUCAUCCAAUAGUGGUUAGGUGGCCCUAGCUAAGCUAGAAUUUUCUAUUAUAUUGUUAGAAAUUACACAACCAAACAAAAUUGGAGGUCAAAGUUACCUAACCAUAUAUUUCAUGUUUGAAAUUUAUAUUGAAUGAUACUCUAACUAGUCAUCAUACGUUCACACUGGAGGGAGCUGUCUCACUCAUGUAAAAUGGACCUUAGUUAAUUAAGGGCCAUUAUGUAGGAAAGAAAGAAGAACCUUUAGAAAAUUAAUUGCACUAUUUAUAUACUUGUUCUAAAGUUAAAAAAAAAAAAGAAAAAGAAAAAGAAAAGAAAAGAAGUGGCCCGAUUAAUUAAUUAAUUAAGGGAAGCAAUAGAAGAUGCUCACUUGUUAAUGGUGUAUCCUAGUUCCAAUCUCCUCAACAUCAUCUUGAACCAACCAUGAUGUAAUCUAAUAUAUAUACACACAUAGUAAUUAAAUUAAAUAAUUAAUACGCGCGUAUGAAUUAAUUAAUGCAUAAUCUAAGUGCCAUAAUUAGAGGGCUAAAGUUUCUAUAUAUGUGCCAUUAGCACGAAAGAGAUCCACACCAUAGACAAUUUAGUUACUGUUUAAAACUCAAAUUUAUAAAAGCGACUUAGAACUAAACGCCACAAUCGAUUAUAUGUGUACGUCGAUCGAUUACCAGUUUAAUAUAAACCUUUGUAGAACGUUAACAUACAUUGUGCUUAUUAUAAUAGGCAACACUUUUGCUUUUUCAUGAUCAUCUUUACCCUUUUCUUUUCUUUUUUUUUCUUUUUGAAGUACUCCUUUAUAUGGGGGUGGCUGCAUGCGAAGGCAAGCAUAUAUAUAGCUCAUAAAGAAUCAAUGGCACAAACUUUAGCUUUUUAAUCAACGGGAGCGUGUGUUACAACUUUUUAAAGUUGCAUGCGGAAGAAUGGGCUAAAAACAUGGGUUUGUGAUGCAAAACGUGAUCUUGAUUUAUACCUAUGCUACAUGAGACUCAUGCUCCAUAUGAUAUUCUAAUACUUUACUUCUUCGAUCUCUCUUUAACUAGCUAGGCAACUGAGGAGGACCUACAUGCAUGUUGCUACACUUUUGCAUAGCUCUAUGCAAGUAUCCUUCUACCACCGUACUACUUGGUUGAUCAAUUAAGAUCAAUGUUACUUAAAGUCUUUGGCACAAGUAACAAUAAAUUUGAUAGUUGGCACCCGAUACUUCAAGUUCGAAGCUUAAUUGUUUCAUAUUUUGAACUAAAUUUAUUUUUUAACAAAAAAAAAUGAAUAAAACAAUAGCAUGUUACCAUGCAUUCCCUCUCUCUCUCUCAAAAAAAAAAAAAUGAAAAAUUAAGAUCAGUAUUACUAGACUUUUUCUUACAUGCUACGUCGUAUUCCUAGAUAUAUUCAUCUAAAGCCUUUUUGAUCCAAAGGGCGGUUCAAGGAUCCAAUGGUAUGGUCAAUAAAAAUACUACGAUGGAAGAUUCACUCCCAGUGCCCCCAAAAGAGGUUCCUAAUUAGAAAUGUGAAUUCUAAUGCAAGGAAAAGAUGUUUAUAAUAUCAAACUUCAAUCACCUCUAACCUACCUUUCAUUUCCACGCGCUUCACAUCCUCAAAUUAAUCUCUCUCUCUCUCUCUCUCUCUCUCUCUCUCUCUCUCUCUCUCUCUCUCUCUCUCUCUCUCUCUCUCUCUCUCUCUCUCUCUCUCUCUCUAUAUAUAUAUAUAUAUAUAUGUACAUGAGAAGUGAUGUCAAAAUUAUUCACAGGCUUGAUGGUUGGUACCCUAAAGAGGAUUAACGAAAACCGACCACCUGGGAAGUCCUCGUGUUGCAUCCCUGAAGACGAUUAACGAAAACCGACCGUCCCUAGAGCAAGCGGCAAAGGGCUUGAUGGUUGGUACCCAAGAUCCAAGUUCGAAUCCUAGUUGAUUCACAUUUCUAGAUAAGUUUAUUUCUAAAUGAAAUAAACGAAGCGGGUAGCGUGCUACCUAUCUCUCAAAAAAAAAAAAAAAAAAAUCACAGGCUAUCUCCUAAUUAAAUCAAUCUCUUUGGUUAGUAUUAAGUGCAUGGUGGAAGCAUUAAAUAAAUAAAAACCAACAUCAUUCACCUUUCACAUUUGAGAAUAAAAUUAACAUCAUGGGCUGGUAAUUAAUUAAGGUCGUGACCAAAAUAUAUAUAUAUCCUAAUAAAGGCAACAAAAAAGUGGUCUCACAUAUUCAUAAUUCAACCAUACUAAUUGGCUUCAAUUAUCCCUGAUAAUUAAUUACUCUAUAUAUGUGUUUCCACUCAAUUAAUGUUUGGGCCCUAGCUUUUGGCAGAGAUGGGGAACUUUGUUAGAGCCAUACAUGCUAUACAAAGGUGAGUUAGAUUCGUUAUAAGUUUACAUCUUAUCAUACAGAUAUCAGAAACACUUUAAAAAAGACUCGGUUAAACUCGAUCUUACUGAUCCCCACAGCAUAGUAUGUUAGUUUUGUGUCUAAACACACACGAGAUCUCUGUUACAAGAGUUUUUAAGUACCCUAAAUUCUUGAUCUUUAGUAAAAUCACGUCGAUGACACAUUAAAAUGAGUCUCCCAUCAGUAAUUUAACUUACAUAAGAACAAUAUUGGCCUAAUGCUUAACUUAGAUGCGGAAGUAACUGAAUCUUAGAACAAAGUAUGUGGUAAAGCAAACUAUCUUCAUGGGCAAGAAAGGCAUGAACAUAAAUCGUAAGAUUGAAGAAAGAUAUAAAUAAGUCUUUUAUUUCUGCACCAAUUGAUCAGUACUGAACACUGCUUUAAUUAGAGAUAAUAAACAUAGGUAAUUUAGUCUAAACCGCCAAUUAUUUGACAUGUAACUCACGUUACUCUAUUAUUACUAUUAUUAUUUUAAUAGGAACAAGGCAUAGUGAGGCCUGUUAUUAUAUCAGAUGAGAUCUUUGAAGAUCCACUUAUUAACUGCAAUUUGGUUUCAGGGAAUCCCAAAAGUCUGUUGGGGAAAAAUGUUAGAGAUAAACAAGGCAAAAUGUUUUGUUUCUUACUAUACUUUACAGCCAAAUAUUCUAAUUAAUUUUCAAAUUAACAAUUAAACUUGGCCAACUUGCUCUUCUUUUCCAUUCUUUUCUUUUUAAAUGGACCACCAUGUGACUGUGACAACUAGAAAGCUCAUUGUUUCCUUUUACUUUACAAUAAGCUUGUGCAAACUAUUCACCUUUUACUUUACAAUAAGCUUGUGCAAACUAUUCAUUCUUUCUCCUAACACUACUGUGAAUAAUCUGUCCCUAUUUUCAAAACCUGGGGUAAUUGUAUGUGGUUUUCUCAAACUAUGGGACAAGAAAAGAUCUUUUAUGAGCACUACUACCAUAAUUACCUGCUAAGCAGUGGAAGACCCACCUUCUUACAUGUUGCGAACGACGACGAAACCUCUGAUUCACUUUUUCAUAUUGUUUAUUGAGCUAUUAUAUGAAGCGACGAAAUUUCGAAUAUAGUGCUGCCCUAAUAGCUUGAAAGCAUACCUUAGUCAGACUCAGAAGAAAUACUAUCUUUAACACUAAUGUGCUACUUUACGAAACAUCAAGCAAAAGCUGAUGCAAGAAGAUCAUUGUAUCUGCUGUGCUGAAUGAACGAAGUCUUCGCGUAUUCCUAUUUUCUCGACAGAUUUACACGUCUGGAUUUUGCUAACUGUGCUUUAGUUGGUUAAACAUCAAUGACUUGGUACUAGAUAUCUCAGCAGCUAGUGCCUAACUUUUAAAGCCUAGAAAGAAAAAUGAACAUGAAGCAGGGGACCAAAGUAGGAAACUUGCAAAGAAAUCAGUACGGUGCAAAAGAUAAGAGUUGCUAGCUGUAACCAAGAAGCAAUAAGUUCCAGGGAAGCUCCAAACUUAGAAGGUAGGGGGAGUGUGAGGGAGAAUAUAUCAAGGAACCGAGGAAAUGAAGGAAAACACCAACAACUUGUGAACAUAAUCAAAACAUCAAGCUUGUAGAAGUGGGGCUCUUGUUCCCAUGUAUAUUAACCAGAAGGGAAAAAAAAAAAGAAAAAGAAAGAAACAACUCUCUUGAGCUCCCAAGUAUUUAAUAAUUCCAAGGCUUUUUGAGUUGCAACCUAUCACACCCUACCUAAUUUCACUUCCUGGUUGUUUCCUUUUUGUCAUGAUUUUUUUUUUUGCUUUGCCUAAAUAACAUUUGCUUUCACACUCACCUUUUAUUAGUGCCUGCUCCACCUAGCUUUGAGUUACUUCUCUCCCUCUACUCCCACCAUAAUUUAGAACCAAAACCCACCCUUCUAUCCUCUAUAAAUACCUAUCAGAAUCCUCAAGGCAAAUCCCAUGCCAAAUCAACAACCUUCCCUUCUUCUUCUUCUUCUUCUUCUUCUUCUUCUUCUUCUUACUUGUUAUCAUCUCAAAAUUUACCUCAACAAAUUCAACUCAAAAAUCAGUCUCAAUAUUGUGUUGGCCCACAAACACUUUGUUCACUACUCCAUGCCAAAACAUCACACCUCUUCACUCUUGGUUGAAUUGUUUCUUCCCUCAUCUUUUCCCUUGCUAACAUCAUCCAUUUCCAUCUUGUCAAAGAUGAAGAACAAGGCCUCCACAUUCUUGAAGCAAAUAGUCACUCUCAUCACGGCUGUCGUGAAGGCCAGGACGAUGGCGGUGAAGAACAAAACGGCGGCCCUUAAGACAAGGCUCAUGAUCUUAGGCUUUUUGCGGAACAAGAAGGUGAUGAUGAGCACAAUCUCUCACAAGAUCCAUGCACUGAUGAGCCAAGACAAAGUAAGGUUAAGCGGCCCUACGAAUGAAAACAACAACAAGGCAAUCGUGCUCCGUAAUUCAUCGAUAGACGAAAGGAAAGCUGAUUAUGAGGAGUUAAAAUUUGUCGACUACAUUGAAGAAGACGACGACGAUGAUUAUGACUCACCCGACCUCACGCAUUCCCUAUUCGAUUUGGAUGAUGAGGACGAAGAAGAUUAUGGACUUGUAGAGAGCACGGGUUCGGUCAUAGAGUUGGUAAGGAACUCGCGACAGGAGUUCAACCUCGAGGACGAGAUCGACCACGUAGCUGACAUGUUCAUAAGGAAGAUUCAUAAACAGAUGAGAUUACAGAAACAGGAUUCAUUGAAGAGCUACCAAGAUAUGCUUGAUAGGAGUAUUUAGGGUAUUGAUUAUGAGAUCAGUAGGGUAGAUCUCACGAGAUUAGAUGGAAUAGAAAUACUAUACUGUGGAGGAGAGAAAAAAAAGAAAAGAAAAGAAAAAGAAUAAAAAACAAGAAAAGGAAAAUAGUGCCUUUUGUUUUGGACUAGGGUAUAAGCUUUUGAGUGUAACUUUUUCCAUUUAUAGAUGCUCGAUAUAUGCAUGUUUUCUGGUAACUCUCUGUUUGUGAGAGAUCUUUGAACAUUCUAUCAAUUCUUUAAUACAAUGAAGAAACAAGAGUAUACAGAAUUUAAAAGAGGAGCAAGGAAUGUGGGAUUAACAUAUGGCUGGGUUUAACCUCUUAAAGAAAGAUACAGAAGGAACCUCUGUAGAGAUCUUAAAAGUGGGGAUGUGGGGAUGGUACCUAGUUGACAGUGUGGGAAAGGACAGUAAAAGCUUUUUUUUGUGGGGGGUGGAAGAACAAGUCCAUUAUUGCUGAAUUUUGAGAAAUUAAUAGAACUGAAUUUCAGGGUGAAAUAUGGCUAUUAAGAUAUAGCUUAUAAAAUGACAAAAAACAUGAAAAACCUACAUGUAAAUAAGCUAGAAAUCUUUAAGUUAAAAAGAAACUCCUUGUGUUUCCAUAAUUAUGAAAAAGCAAGAAGCUUGUACCUUCUAUAUACUUCGGUGUACAAUAGUUAAAUAAGAAUCAAUAUUAUCUGAACUCUCAUAAAUGACUACAGGUUAGGCCUGAUGCCAAGCAAGCCAGAACACCUCCACUGCAAAAACAAAAAAUAUUACAUUGUUUUGAUAUUCCCUUAAGAUAUUUAUUCUAUUCAUAGACUCUUCAGAUGUUUACUCUACAAGUUUCUAAAAGAAGCACCACUUACAUAAACAAUUAUCCUCCUUUAAAAAAUAGUAGUCUUAGUUGCCUAUCCACCAAAAUGAGCAACAAUAUUUUACUUACCGGAUGCCUUGUCGCUUUAAACAGCACUUAACACUCAAUUAGCUACCUACAAGAUGAUAUUGAAAGCUACUAGAGACUUUAAAAAGAACUAAAUAAUAAUAUUUCACUUAUCAGGAAACAAUGCCCCGUAUUAUCAAACUCCACUUAAAACUUGAUUAGUUACUUAAACGACAAUAUUGAAAGCUACUAAAGACAAUAUAUAACUUAAAUAGACGAAAUUGCAGAAUUAAACUGAAAGGCAGUAAUAAAGCUAAGGGAAGUGUACUUAUUAACCGAAAGAACAUUCAACUGUAAUGUGAUUGGCUGUUUCCAAAUUGAAGUUCAGAAAAGGGGUUUUUUUUGCAUUUGGCCCCCUCAAAAAAUUUAUUUUCACAAAUAACCCCACCAAAUUUAUAAUUACAAUUUUGGCUUUAUCCCUACCAUGCAAAUGUCACGUAAGCGCCACACAAGCAAGGAGAGGUGUUGGAAUAAGUUGAACACGGUAAUCCAUUCACCGUGUCUAAACACGAUGAAUGGUUCACCGUGUCUGAAAAAAAAAAAAAAAAGAAAAAAGUACGGAACAUGGUGAACCAUUCACCGUGUUCAACUUAACGCCCCUCCGACUUGCCUGAUACUAAUGUGGUGCCUGCGUGGUGGGGAUAGGGUCAAAUUUGUAAUUAUAAAUUUGAUGAGGCUAUUUGUGAAAAAAAAAAAUUGACAGUGCCAAAUGCAAAAAAAAGCCCAUAGAAAAGUUUUUGUUGAAUUAUGUGUCAUGAUAUCUUUGCUACAAUGGUGAUAUAGAAGACCAAUGUAAAUACUAAAUAGUAUCUAGAAUAAAUGGAGCAGUAGAGAUCCAAGUGAUAAUUUGAAUUGCAGCUUUAGUAUUAAUUAAAAAUGCAUAAUCUUACUUGAAUUACAAUUUAUACCAGAGACGUAACUUGGGGAAUAAAACACUACUAAUACAAACUACAAACCAGAUAGUUCAUCCCAAAAUUAUGGAAUAUAGUUGCAUCUAAAAUAAAACCAAAAGGACACAUUUCUGUUGCUGAAUAAACUAGGAAAUGCACCAGAAUUAUAAUUAUGAUUCAUUCAGUCAAAAGUACUAUCAAAUUGAAUGUAACAAAAUUUACUAAUGUUUUCUCAAUAAUAACUGAAAACUAAAUUGAAGGACAAUAAAGGACCUAGAGUCACCGGUUAUGGUAUUUCUCUGUGGCAGGCAUUAGGGAGUGGACUUAUUUGGAUAUGUGAAAAACUAAUGCCACUUUGAAAAAUGAAAUGAAGAAGAAAGAAAACAAAGGAAAAUAGAGGAAAAUAGCUAUCCAAGUUCCCACUUCCUCAAUUACUCUUCUAUAUUAAUUCAUCAUGCCUAAAAACGAGUUUUACCACUGAUUUUGGUUUUGAAGUGUUGUCUAUCGACGGCCACCAGCUUUCCUCACUGGUGGAGCUGCAUCUUCAUCAUCUGAUGGGACAUCACCAUAUUGCCAGAUAUUCAACCUCUCCUUUUUAGCUUUUUCUUGGAACUCUUUGAGACUUUUGAGAGCUGCCUUUUUCUCUCUACUGGUCCAUCUCUUCCUUGUUUCUAACUUAGCAAGUCCUUCCUGCAAGGUUACAACAAAAUCAAACCAACAUACCUAAAAUUUUUAUAUAAUAUUCAAGUCUAUGUGAUUCAAAUGGGUACAAAUAGUAUUGCAGGUCAAGCUCUGAAACAACAACAAUAUUCAGAUCAAAGAGACUUCAAUAUACAUUCUUGCAAAAUCAUGAAUUUUGUUUAUAUUCCUGCAAAACUUUUGCUUAUAUAUCCUUGAAGGUUCGUUUUCUUACAAAAAUGACAUACAUGAAAUUUCAACUAAUUUUUAAGUACAAGAAAUUAAUUUUUUUGCAGGGCAUUCACGAAAACUUGGAUUUUGAAGCAUAUAAUUGUAAUUACAUAAUGUUGCUGUAAAUAUUGCAAGAUAUAAAUAAAUAAGCAAUCAAAGGAUAGGGACAGUUCUCGAACCUUCAGCAUUGCCGCAUUAAUGCUAGUAUCAUCUUCCUCAUCUACCAGAGUUAAAGCAUUAGGCAAAAACUAUUCUAGUCCCGUCCUUUUAACUUUCCCACCUGAACUAAAUUUAUCUUCAACUAUAGCCUUCCACUCUUUGGACCUCUUUUAAAGUGCGCCGCUCAGAUAAGCCAUGGCUUCAUAGCCAAAGUCGUCCUCUAUAUCUGGCAGUUUUAUGUAUGCUAGUUUGCAUAGUUGGGCCAAACCAGGCUCAGAAGAAACUGAGUCUAGAGACCGUAAGCGACAGUAGGGAACCGUUUCCUGAUUCCCAUAGUCAAUGUAGACAAUCUCAAAUUUGUCAUUUGGUGAAUGAAUAGCCCCUUGAGGUCCGUCGACAAUCUUCAAAAUGCACAUGAAAGGAAAAUAACUGAAGGAUUGGUAAAAAAUCAUGAUAAAAUAAAACUAAUGCAGGUAACUGAACUGUAUAUUACAAGCAUGUAUAAAAUUAUGCAAAGCAAUCCUUCGUGAAAUAUCAAAGUUGACUACAUAAUACUAAAGCAGCUAAACGCUCAUCAUUCAGCAGCUACUCCACAUCUCCAGUUUCAAAUUGAAUCAAUGUAGGUGAUAGUUACUUCUAUCUAAAACAUAUGUGGAAGGAUUUCGAAUUUCUGAAAUAAAAAUUGUUACCGAUUAUAUAUAGUUUUAGUAACAAUACUGAUUCCAACAAAGGGGUCGUUUCAGUUAAAGAUCUGAACAUUAGAAGUUCUGAAGUGCUGAUAACUUAUAUGGUGGGAUCCAGUUAAGGAGAACCAUCAAUGGAAGGAAAUAGAUGUUUCACUUUAGCAAUAUGCCUCUACCUUUGAGAAUGAGGGGUCCAACACGGCCAUCACUGCUAUAUCCUAGGUGAGGCCAGUUGCCGCAACUGUGAAAAGAAGAGAAAGAAGGGAGAGGAAGAUUAAUUGAAUACAGACCACUGGUAAGGUGACCCCUUGGUGCAAUUUACAAGGCAAACUUUUAAUUGCUAAUCUAAAGAAAUUUUAGCUGGCCCUCUGAACUGAUAAUUAUUGUCAUGAUAACUACAAGGGAAUUAGAAAGAACUAAACAAUCUAAAUACUCAUUACUUUUCUAAUUCCCCCUAAAUACAAGGAAUAUCACCAUAUCCUCUAAUUUAGUUGCAAAUUAAUUAACCCAAUAUAUAAGAGCGAAAAAGGAAACAUUUCAAUUGCCGAAAUGAAGUUAAUAAGAAUUACUUAGCUAAAACGUAGAAAGAAAUAAUGGAGUUCUGAAAUAAUGAAAGUUUCUUUCCAAAAUUAUUCACUAAUGAAUGCAUAGAGAAUCACAAUGAUGUUGAUGCUUACCAUAGCUCUGUUCCAAGAAUUAUCAAGAGAGAACUGAGAAAGAACUAUAUCACCCUUCGCAGGAUUAAAAGCGCCAAUUACUGUUAACACUUAGCGAAGCAAGCUGCUGCUCAAUAGCAGCUAAUUUUUGAUUGCCCACUGUUUGGACAUAAAAAUUGGCACUGCCAAGGACCUCAGUAACCACAACCUGGAGGAAAAAAAAAAAGGAAAGAAAAGAAAGAAAAUGUAUCAACUAGUCACAACAAGACACAAAUGCAAAUUAAUUUUAGCAGCAGCAGGUACCUUUAAAACUUUAUUCUGCUUGUUUUCAGUGUUGGAACCAUUGUGUACUUGGCCCUCAACAUACCUAUAUGAAUAAAGGGUAGAGAUUAUCUCGAGAAAAGAUGAAGCAUGAUAAACUGGAAAGAGAUUUAUAGUUACAUUUUUUUUUAAGAACUGCACUUUCCAAAGCAUCAUUUUUAUACUUUAAAAGGCUUAAAAAAUUCAAAAGAUUCCAAUCUUUCCUCCUCCAAUGUUCUAAAUUGUAGCAGAAACCGCCACCAGAAAAGCAUGUGGUUACAUACUUCUCCGGUGGCGAUUGCUACUGCAAUUUUAAACUAAAAAAGGAGGGAAGAUUGAAAAUUUUGGAUUUUUCUUUUUUAUUGACCUUCCAUAGUAUGAAAGUUCUGCUUUUAGCCACUACAUCACCAAACUAGGUCUUACUGCUGCUUAUUUUCAAUUUCUUAUUUUUUGCAGAUUGUUCAGCCUGCACAAGGAGUCGAGAGUCUGGGAUCCUUUCUACUCCAAAAGACGUCUGAAUCAUAUUCAAGUCCCGCUUCCAAAAGAGUUACAGCCAUAUUGGUCUUUGAUUCACGAAGAGAACCUAAGAAAGUUCCUGUCCUGUCCACCGUCUCCACUUCAAUCUGUGUCCGAAGUUGCAUAACAUGUGAGAGUACCGAGUACAGAGUAUAGUUAUAAAAUGCACAAUGUCUAAUUGGAGAUGAUGUUUGUUUAGAUUGUGCGCAUCUUCAUCCUAUACCAUUUCUAUUUUUUACUAUUUUGCUACUCAGAUUGUGCGCAUCUUCAUCCUAUACCAUUUCUAUUUUUUACUAUUUUGCUACUCUCUGUCUCUUACUCAUUACAUAAUUUGACUAAUUAAAUCUUUCAUUGAAAAUGAUGGUAUUUUUCUCAGUACUAUUAUUUACAGAAGUUUAAGUAAGCACCUCGACAUCCCUCUGAAGAACCUUCCUUCUCAUUAGAGUAGUUGCUUCGUGCGAAAGGGCUCAUCCCUACCAAGGCACUUAACACCAGAAAAGGAAAAGGCAAUGGUCCAUGUAUCCUUUGGGAUCAACAUGGCCACUUAGGACGUGUUCCACAACAGCUAGGAGACUUUUAACAAAAAAAUGGCAAGAAGUCUUUUGCUUUCUUUGCUGAUGACUAGAUAAAAUAAGAUGUUAGUAUCACUACACUGAGAAGAUCAAUUUUACUAGAAAACACCAAAAAGAGCUCUAGGGGAUCUUGUCUUUACAAGCAUAUGUAUCCCUGGAAAAUCAUCUAUUUGCGUAUAUACCUCAAUAAAUUCAGAAUUCUCAUAUCAAGUUAGGAGUCAUAAAUGCAUGGUGAAAGUUGGCUUUUGUUAGAAUGGUGCAAAAAUUGGAGAAUUUUUGGAAGUAAUAAGGUGUAUGAGCAAGAACUAAAGGUUUUGAAGGGUGUAAAUGGAGACCAGAUGUCGCGUGAACAUAUAUGUAAAUAGCUAAUCAUGCAGAGACACAUAUAUAAAUAUCUCCAAACAGGAAAGCUCCAUACUGUUGUUAGAUCAGUAACGUGCAUCACCGAAGGACUUGGCGGAACGAAUCCCUUUCUUUCCACUAAUGGUGCUUGACUCAGCUGCCAGCAAAGCAUCAUAAUAGUUCGAGCGCUCCUCAAAAUCUCGGCAUCUGAUUACGGUAGCAACCGUACAGAGGUACAUACAUAAAUAUCUCCAAACAGGAAAGCUCCAUACUGUUGUUAGAUCAGUAAUGUGCAUCGCUGGAGGAUCCUUGGCGGAAUGAAUCCCUUUCUUUCCUCUAAUGGCGCAUGACUCAGCUGCCAGCAAAGCAUCAUAAUAGUUAGAGUACUCCUCAAAAUUUCGGUGUCUGAUUACGGUAGCAAUCAUACAGAGGUACGCAUAAAUAUCUCCAAAUAGGAAAGCUCCAUACUGUUGUUAGAUCAAAAAUGUGCACCACCGGAGGAUCCUUAGCGGAAUGAAUCCCUUUCUUUCCACUAAUGGCGCGUGGCUCAGCUGCCAGAAAAGCAUCAUAAUAGUUCGACGCUCCUCAAAACCUCAGUGUCUGAUUACGGUAGCAAACCCACGUGCAACCACGAGUUCUGCAACAUUUGCUCCUGCUUGACUUUGACCACUGGCAGAAGGCGGUGGGGGAGAGCUGUUGUCAUUCUCAGCUUUGGAUGGAGAUAUUAAGAAGACUGAACCGAAAUCCAUGACUCAAAAAUCAGCUUGCCCAGCAGGACCAUCGGAGUUGAAUCCAUCCAACAGGCUUACCUUCCUAGAAUACUCCACUGACACAUUCACCUGAAAAAUAAAAAUGAAAGAUCUCCUACUAAAGAUUCUUCUACCAUAAGGACCUGAGGCCAAUUUUAACUGCUCCAAGAUACUUCACUUUGUUACCCAAACGCAAACAGUACAUUGUGCGAGAAACCGCAAGCAUCAAAAAAUAAAAUAGAUUUAAAUUAAAAGAGCACAGUGCAAUCACCCAAAACUAAUCGACUCCUAGAGAAAGGGGAAAAAAAGUGGGAUUGGAGGGUGAACAAUAAGUAACUCUCUACUGACCUACAGCUGCUACUUGUACAUUUUGAAUUCUCAGGUAUUUAAUACAUAAAUAAGGUUCCCCACAAAACCUUCACUACCUAGUUUGUUAAACAGAGAUAGUGAUGCCAAUCGUUGUACUUUGAUAUUUUCAACUCUCUCCCUGAAGCCAAAGGUCCGAUACAUCAGCUACUUUGCUCAAUAAGGAAAAAAUCCUGAGAAAAAAAUAAGGCCCCAAUGUCAGCAAAAAGACCAAAUACGUAACUAUAAGUUUUAGUGUGAAUGAAAUUAAAUGGCUGAAGUGAUUAAAACUAGCUCAAAUAUCAUAUCCCCUGAUUACAAAAUUUGUUGUACCACAGGAUACUGAGCAAAAAACAUUCCUACUUUCAUCGUCAAUCAGUAGAUAAGGAAGCUAAAAGAUAUUACAAACAGGCUACCUCAUCAUUUUACCGACCGCCAAAAGUAAAAUAUGUUGAUGGUUUCUGCAAUCAACGUUUAGAACUAAGAAGUUACCAAAAAUAAAUGAUGAAAUAUCCUUCUUAUUGCCUGUAGCUACGUAAGUGCAGAAAAUGCCACACACCUAUUAUUAGUUCCAUUUGGGUAGUGCUAUGUUCCAAUCUCCAAUGAAUAAAUGCUGCCGUAAAUUAUUUGUUAGGCCAUUUGAAUGAGGGAAAAGAAUAUGCCGUCCCACAUUUGGUUCCAGCAAAAUGAAACUUAUUACAUAGAGAAGCAAAAACGUUUAGCUAAACAGAGAAGUAUGCAAAUAUCAUAAUGAGGAAGAUUUCUCCCGACACUAGAAAUAGGAAGAUUUCCCCCGACUGGUAUGUUAGUAAACUUAAAAUAGAAGUCCCAAAUUCACUAAAAGCAUGCCACAACAGUAUCUCUGAGUGUAGAAUCAUGCCAACUAAUAACUCUACUGAGUGAGAUGACUUAAAACUAGGUUGUAGAUGGCCUAACAUAGGCAUUUUAUGUUAUUUUCCAUUCAAAAUUGCAUGAACGUAUAAUUAACAAGUGUAGAGCAGGCGUGCAUAUCGCAACAUCUUGUUCCAACUUUGGAAGGUACUAAAAUUCUUAUGCUGCCAAGGGAAGGUGUAAAUAGCGAAUUCUCUUUGCAUGCAUCCUAGUUCCAAUAAGACAUAUUUUACCCAGGACAUGCCAAACUAAGCUGAGCGUUGUUAUAUUCUGAUAGAAAUUUGACAAAUUGAAUUUCUCGAAACUCUACAAUGUUAAAUCUACUCCAAUAUGAAAUGGAGAUAUAAAUGUAAGAUUAUACACUUUGAAAUAUAAGCGUUCUCCCAAAUAUCAAGUAUUCCAUGUAUUCUUUUGACCUCCUACAUAUCGAGAGGUAAAUGCUUACUAAGGUUGCAUAGGAAAUAAAAGCAGCUGAGACAAGGAAAGAAAGAGCCUUUACCUCAGAUCCUGCACCGCAGUUCACUCAUCAAGCAUAUCUCCAUUGCCGCCCCCACCGAGUUCCUCUUCUUCCUUCCUCAACCGCCCACACACAUUGCAUUCCAAUACAUUCGACAGCGUACCAUCUGCUGACGGCGGCAGAGGAGCCAACGUCCCCCCACAAUUCUCCCUAUCACAAAGGAACCUCACGAAGAAGUAGGCAUGAGGGAAAUCCCCGUCCCAGUCCCCGUCCUCGUCCUCCCCUUCUUCUUCCGCCUCCAUCUCUUCCCCAUCCUCCUCUGCUCCUUCGCCCUCCUCCAUCCUCUCCUCUUCACCGCCGUCCUCAUCAUCGUCUUGGUCGCGGUCGUUCUCCUUCCACUGGCUCUCCACUCGGCACCGAUCGCACUCGCACCGGAAUCCGUAGUCCUCCAGCAGCCGCGUCUGCCUCUCCUUGUAGCUCCAGUUGGCGGGGAAGUAGCUGAUGCACACCUCCCUCCCUUGGGGGAUCUCGUGCAGCGCCCUGACGGUCAAAUCGGCGUUCCGGUCGCCGGGCCCGUCGACGUAGUCGAAGCGGCAGGCGUUGGGGAGGCAGUCGUGGUUGAAGAAGGCGGCGUCGGGGUAGAUCCCGUAGGCGCGGACUCCCCGGGUGGGCGCGGGGCCGGGGGCGGGGGCGGCGGCGGAGGGCUCCAUGAGGGCGAAGGCGUUGGUCUUGUCCCUGGCGAGGAGGGCGGCGGUGAGGUCGGGGGAGAAGGAGCCGGGGAGGAGGUCGCGGGGGAGAUGGAGGGAGGAGAGGAGGAGGGAGUGGAGGGCUAGGGCUUCGGGCGGGGCGGAGGCGGAGGCGGAGGCGGAGGCGGAGGAGGAGAGGGAGAGGAGGCGGAGGAGGGAGGGGGAGGGGAGGGAGUAGGCGGAGAGGAGGAAGAGGAGGGAGGGGAUGAGGUCGGGGGAGAGGGAGGAGGAGGCCUUGGAGAGGAGGGGGAGGGCGCGGCAGAGGAGGACGGGGUGGGAGUGGGAGUGGGAGUGGGAGCAGCAGCAGCAGGGGCAGAAGAAGGCGAGGGAGCAGGAGGGGCAGCGGAGAGGAGGAGGAGAAAGGGGUAGGGAGCGGAAGCAGCGGGAGCAGUAGGAGGAGAGGGCGGCGAGGGAGGAGGGGUAGAGGAGGAGCGGCGAGUCUGCCAGCACCACCUCGCCCGGAAGGAUGCGCCGGCUCGCCACCAGGGCCCGCCCCCGCCCGGCGACUUCGCUAACGCGGACCAGAGGAGAACAGGGAGACGGCGACGCUGAGGACGAUGACGCCGCCGCACCCGCCAUGCUUGCUGCUUGCAACUGCUUCUACCGCCGCCGCAGCUGCCAGGUAAGGAGAGGGAGAGACGAGAGAGAUCUUCUCCACCUCGUUGCUUAAUAAAUUUGUUUACACAAGAUAGUCCUUUUACAUUGCCCGUACUUGGAGUUAGACCUGCGAGUACAAUCCAACCGAGUUAUUUUCGGGCCGUUUGGAUCAAACCCAACAUAAUAUGGACUUUUUAGAUUUUGCAGUCCAGUCAAAGUCGAAUCUAAAUUGAUCGGAAGCCCAAGCCCAAACCCAAUCUACAUUGUUGCCCAUGUUUAUAUAUUUAUUGUACAUAUCAUAUAUAUAUAUAUAUAUAUAUAUAUAUGAGUUGGACUGGGCUACUAUUAGUAGCAAAAUUCCAUUGUUGCUACCAGUUUUUUAGCCUUUGGAUCAAUUCUUUUCAUUAUUUCUAACCAUUGGAUUAAAUACUAUAACCCAGUGGGGACCACUCAACCCUAGGGGGACCACUCAACUCUAACCGACUAAUAUCAUCCUGACUCUACAAUUUUUCAUCAAAGGGUUAAAAAAAUUUGAUAGCAAAAAGAGCGCUUUACUAUUAAUAGUAUCCCAACCUAAUUCUAUAUAUAAGGUGCAGGAAGUGUCCAAUUUGAGUCUAAUCUUAGGGGUCCAGAAUUUCCAGGGUGUGGAAAAAAUAUUGCAUUGUGAAAAAAAAAUAAUAAUAAAUUAAUUAAAGAAUAGUGAUCCAUGGUGGACCAGGUCCAAUGAAUAAUUUUGAAGUAGACUCGGAAAAAGUACAGUAAUAUGAUAGGAAAGGCACCUGGGAAGGCACCCUACCUAGAUGGGGAUUAGAGGAUUUUACAACAUCACACUUAUAUCACGUCAUCAAUAACAAAUUAAUCAUAUUUCUUCUUUUCAAACAAAAGUAUAAUAAAAAUAUUUUUUUAUAGUUAUGAUGAAAUAUAUAUCUCUAAAAAAAAAUAUUUGAUUGAUUUAUUACGCCACGUCACUAAUAUACCCAGCGCAUUCUAUAAUUUUUUUGGGAACUGAGGGGGAGAGACAAGGAUUGUGAUGCGUGCGCUAGUGUACAAGAUUACGUCGAUUUUGUUGUUCGUGCUCGCUCAAACCCACUCCUCGAUUGCGUUCGCAUCGCGCCCAGCCCGAUCCGAACCAACUCCUUGCGCCUAAGGACAAGACAUUUCAAUAAAUAAUAUUAAUCAUUUUCCUUAACAAAGUAGAGCAUACUAUCAAAAUUUUUAGAUAAGAUGAAUUUCAAAAGAUGCAUAUCAAACUUCGACCCCUUAGCCACGCGUAUAUAUGCAAGGAUACAAGGGAGAAAAAAACACCAAUUGCGCAGAUUUUCUGCAGCAUCACUUAGGAUGGCUAUAAGUUUGACCACCAGCAAUAAAAAUAAUAUAAAAAAAAGUUAAUCUUAUAUAGAGUCUUGUUAAAAAAUUAAGUAACAGACAUAUUCUUUGAGCAGUUAGGUUGUCAAAUUUGUUCGUAAUUAAGCAAUGCAUGUGUGUAUGAUCUUGCUUAUAAAUUGGCAACAGACUUUAUUCUCGCCUAUGCUAGACUGUGUUGCACUUCUCCUAACGUAUGUGCCUUCCUUUUGUUAUUGUACGAUGCCUCCCCAUAAUACUUUGAGAUAAAUUUAUCCUAAUUAUAUGCAUAGUUCAUUAAUCUAAUAAUACGAAGUACCAGUUGUAACCAAAUAUUUCUAGCUAGUCAACAUCUAGUUGUCCUUAAGACAUUUCCAAAAUGACCCCGUAAACAUUACAUGAGAAUCAAACUGAGUACAGAAUAAUCAGAGUACAGUAUGACCCAAAAUACUCCUAUCACAAAUGUGAGGUUCUAAGAAUAACAAUGUUUAUAAAUUUAAAUUUUUUAUUUUUUAUUUUUUUUCUCUUCAGAAGCUGCUGAUUCCAACGCGUCCCGCUCCACUCAUUAGGCCUCAAAGCUUUUCCCUAAUCAUAGAGGGUAAAAGCCUAAGCAAUUUGCUCAGCAAUUUGUCUAAAAUGCUCCUAACAUGUGACAAAUUUCACACUCAAAACUAUGGUGACUCUUGGUGCCUUAUGGGAGAAACCGGGGGGCAAAACUAGGACAGGGAAAUACCAUUAACCUUUCUAGGCACUCCAACGUACAAUUCCUGAGUUGUCCCAAACUCCCAAUAUGUGCCCAAAACAAAUAAAAAUAAUAAAUAAAGUCCGCAUGAAUUGAAAUUACUAAACUACCCCCACAGAACCUGUGUGUAUGUAUAUAAAGCCCCAGGAUAACAACACCAUGUAGCAACCACAACUUGGACUUGGCUAUUCUCUCUGUACAUGCUCUGUUCUCAAACUCCUCGCAACAACCCACAAACUAAUUAAGCUUCGUCCUCUUCUUCCUCUUCAACAUUAACAAGAGAGAGAUAUGGCUAAGGAAGAAGACCUUAAGGUGAGCUAUCGCUCUCUCUUUCUCUCUCUUGAUCUCGAUGUCGAUCUCUUUCGAAACUAAUUGUUAUCCCUCCGUGCAGAGAGUUGAUUUGAAGGUAACUGUGAACUGUUGCGAGGGGUGCAAGAGAAAGGUGGCGAAAGCAAUGAGCAUCAAAGGUCUUAAUCGUCACCUAUGCAUUCAUUUAUUUUUCGUUCUCUGUAACUUCUUUAUCCUGUAUUAAUUACUGAUGCUCGUACUCUGUUUUUGAUGCUUUGUUUUUUGCUCUGUUUGAUAACUAGAACUCCUAUCAAUCUUCAGGUGUGUUGAAAACAGAGAUACAUCCAACCCUCCCGAAGAUCACUGUUAUCGGCACCGUCGACACGAAAACACUGAUAAGGAAACUGGCGAAGAUAGGAAAGACCGCAGAAAUAUUACCCGACGAGACCCAGAAGCCAAAGAACGAAGAGAGGAGCUCCGACGACAAAGCAGAGAAAGCCGGCGAUAAACAAAAGGAAAAGGAAGGGAACUGGCCCGAGAAAAUGGCUGAUGAUAGCAAAAGCUAUGAAAAUAAAGUUGAAAAAAAGAAGGCAGAAAAGGGAAAGAAGGAAACCAAACAAGGAAAAGAGUGCUCUGUUUCUGAAGAAUCUAAAGUCAUGUACCCAACAGUUGUGGCAGCUAUUCCGCAGGUUAGUUACGGCGUAAACCGGAUUGGUGUGGUGGAAAGAAGUGUUGAUAACAAUCCAAUGGGGAUUAAUCAGCAACAGGUGUACGGUCAAAUGCAGCCUGUUAUGUUUCCCAUGCCCUAUUAUGCGGCCAUGAACGCUUACUCUGCUCCUAUGCAGUAUGGGUUUCAGUACAACGGGGCUCGUCAUGAGCCCCCGGUCUACUGCCCCUUGCCGCCACCACCGCCACCGCCGCCGCCGCCGAUGCAAUCGCCAGCUUCAGGGUUCACUGACUUCUUCGAUGAGGAUAACACUGUUGGGUGUUAUGUGAUGUGAGCAAGUAAUCCGAAUCUAUUAAUUAUUGGUGUUUUCUUUUUUUUUUUUUGUUUUCUGUGGGGUUCGGUGCUGGAUUUAGUUCAGGGAAGAGGAGAUGAGUUGAUUUGAUUUCAGCUUUAUUUCUUGUUCAAAAAUUAAAAAGAGAACUUAUCCGUCUCUCUUACACACGCGCAUGUGAACAGAAACAACUUAUUCAUACUGAAUACAAUUGUGGUGGGAAAGGAACUGCAGAUUACCGAUUCAAGUAAAACUGUUCGAAGAAGUUCUUACUUUACUAUUUUUCUUCUUAUUAAAUUAGGUGCGGAAGUAUUGCACUACAGCUCUAAAAGGAAAGCGUCACAUUUACAUUUUCAUUUUUUUCAAGGUCAACAAAGGUUCAUUUCAUGUUUACACCAUAGUUAGAAAAUUUGAUCUUUUAGAAAUUCUUAGCAAUUGAGUCAGCGAAUACAUUGGUCUCAUAGCUUCACAAACUCUCAUUUCUCAGACCUUCGGUGUGAAAUUGAGCUUGUGAACUAACAACUCCUCAGUCAAUCUGUACACUUUCACAUAGAAUUCUUGUCUAGCACGCCAGCACGUCACAAGCACUCGGCGAUCACGAGUUACCAAGGUUGCUAGGCGAGUUCAAGUGGAACAAACAAGCUCUAUUAACUAAAAAAUCAUUUUCCUUCUCAAAUAGACUGAGUUUUGCAAAAUACAGUAUCUCUAUCAUGCAACCAUAAUAUAUACUCGCCAUAGACGUUACUUUUCCACUCCUUUAUAUCCUAUUAACUUUGACUUUGCAAAUCUAGGAGAGGUCAUUCUAGUUUAUUAAAUUUAAAAUCAAAUAUUAUUCUCUUUUGGCUUUUGCAAUCGAGAAAGGGUUGGAGCAAUGCUAUAAGGUGUGAUCACAUCAGUAUAUAUAAAAAGCUUUAGAAAAACAUACCGAGGGUGGAUUGGAGGAGGAAAAUUUUGGCUCAAGCUUUUUGAAGAAGUUGGUGGAUGCUUAAUGCUUUUUGGAAAGAGCGUGCGGUAGCUGAAGACCAGUUUUGGGUCCAUGCAUGGGGAAUAAAGUGUAGGGGGGGAGAAAAAAGAAAAGCAUUAAAAACCAUCUAAUCUAAAAUCUAAUUUUUUGAUCAUGAGCCUUCGAAUUCGUACAUUGCAUGGGCACGGUGGUUACAACACGUGUAUUCCCUUUAUUCGCGGUCAAUGGUCGUCGUAAGACUUCGAAUGAAAUCUUAACGGUAUUUGUACGAGCCACUGGGAAGCUACAGGAACCCCUUUCAAUUUCUAGGGGGCGAAUAACUAAAGUAAAUGGGGUCCCACCAGACCGGGGCGGUGGCCCGGCCUGAUUUUGGAUGGGAUGGGCCUGUUUAGGUCAGUUUUUUGGGCCGGACUAUUAAACAAUCGAAUCGAACCCAAUCCACCAUUUGCUCGAAUCGUGAUGCGGGAUCGACGAGUGACGCAGCGCCAUUGCCGUACGACGUCCCUUUGUGCCAGAUCCACAACAGGAAACAUCGAAAGUUUCCAAUCUGAUAACGCCACGAAGACAACGCUCCGUGCUAUAAAGUGAACGGGAUGUUUCGUCGACCGAAGCGGCAACCCUAGCGCGGCCCCCAAAACCCCAUCGUCUCCCUCCCCGUUCCCCAUCUCUUCUCACUCCUCUCUCCGCUUCCCCCCUCUUUCUCUCUCUCGGUUCAAUCUAUGCGAGCUCCAUUUUGUGUUGUUGCAUUUCUGCUUCUCGACAUCUAUAUGUAGAGGCCCUUCUCUUUGGAUCUAGUGUUUUUUUUUUUUUUUUGUAAUUUUUUUCGUUUGUUUAAUAAGCGCAGGGUAUAUUUUAGUUUAUAUCGGCAAAAAAAAGAUCUAAGGAUCAGUUCGGAUUAUUGGUUUUUGGUUUUGAUUGCUUAGCAUUGUAUAGCGAGAGGGAUUGUUAUGUUUUUUAGAAAUAUAGGUAGAGUGAUUUGACUUUGUGCUUAAUAGGAAUAGCUUUAUUGCUCGUCAUAUGAGGGUAUUUAACUCUCACGUUUGCAUCUGUUAUGUCUUCUUCUUCUUCUUCUUCUUCUUCUUCUUAUUGUUGUGCAUUUAAUGGGUUGUAUUCGAGGAUGAGCAAAUAUUUUCGAUCUUCUGAGGGUGGUGAACUUUAUUCCACUCAUGCGGAAUCAAUCUUGGAGACCUGAACUGAGAAUACCCAUCUCAACCCAAAAAAACCAAAAAAAGAAAAUCCUUUUUUUUUCCUUUUAUUUUGGGCCCCGAAUUUUUUUGGGUAUUUUUGUUUUUUUUUUCGCUGUAGUUUGGUUUCCGAUGAUGAUCAGAGCAAAAACUUUCGUUCUUCCGAGGCAUUUGCUAUGCAAUGCGGAGGAUUCAUGGAGACCUGAACUGAGGAGACCCGAUUUAACGCUUUGCUUUUGGAAUUUGUUUUUUUUCCUUUAUCUUUUCUAAAAAGGUAUAGUUUUUAUUUUAAUGCUAAUUAGCCGAUUUGAAUCCCAAUGAAGAUCACUCAUAUGGAUUAAAGUAGUGGGCUGAAAUCAUGUGAUGAAUGGUAUGUUCUGAUCCUGAGGGAUAAUUUUAUCGCUACAUAAAAGAAUGAUUUUGAUCCUUUUUUCUAUGCUGAAAUAUACUUUAGUUAAGAGUCGUUUCAUUCUCUUCCCUGAUGGAGGGAUUUACCAUUACUCGUUGAUUUCUCCCUAGGUUUCUAGUAGCUUUUUUAUACUAUAAUUAAGUGUUGUAGUUGCUUCAUUUCUAGUUUGAACUGAACUUUUAUUCUUAGUUUUUCUUCAUAUGAAGUCUAUAAGCUUUUAUUCUUCUUCAGUUCACAAGGCUCCCGAUGAUUGAAUCAAACAUCAUCAGUUUCAGCCUUGUCUGAAUACACUAUUUGUUGAAAUCUAAAGCUUUUCUGAGGGAGCCGCCCCUACUGACUUUUUUAAAUGGAAGAACUUCAAAUAUUUCCCCUUGCGGGUCAGCGCUUUCUCGCUUUACUACCUUGUGUUUUGAAAUGUAUUAUUUUAGCAUCCUGUGAAUUUAUUUUUCUCUUUCCAUCAGAAUUUUCAUUUACUCUCCAUUAAAAUAUAUAUAAAAAAAAUUUCACAUAUCUUCCUGUGGAUUAUCAAAUAUUCACUUUAGUAUUCUGUGUUCAUAUGCUGAUCUUCAUUUUGAGCAGAUAAUUUUACUACUUGCAUUACUGGAUCUGUACUAGUUGCUUUGCCUGAUCGAUAUUGAUUGUUCUCAUUUUGAACAAAGUUUGCACCUAUCUGGAAAAUUUUGCGUUUUGUGCGGUUCAAUGAUGGCUAUGAAGUGCACAAGAGGCGAAGAGGAGGCCGAAGAUUACAGCGCGCACUGGAAUUGCAAGCGAAAAAGUUGAUCUAUGCCUGAUAGGGUAGGGUGAGUGCCAAGCAUCUUGCUAUCUAUCUCCGAGGACGACGAGGGCCUUUUCUUGUGAAUUCAUCUUAUGUCUGUCUACUGCAUAUAGCCUUGUUUCUGAUGAUAAAACAAGUGCUAGUGUCUGUUCAGUUCUUUUUCUUUUUUGGGUUUUUGGGCAGGUCUCUGUUCUGGUUGUUAAUGAUGGUUUCUGAAUUUUGUUUGAAUUUUGAGAUUCGAAGCUAUUAUUGUGUAUUCAGUUUUUUGCACAGCUAUACCUUGUGAAAGAAAUGAAUAAGCGUGCGGCAGAGUGUUAUUCUAUGGUGCAUUUUUUUCAUGAUCCCUUUGUAAGGAAGCUGCUUUGGACCAGCCAGUUUUUACUUCUCUGUUACCGCUUGCAUAGUUCAAAAUUCUGAGCCGGAAAUAAAAGUAAAGCAAUUUGGUGCCUCUGAAAGAAAAUUGCACGAGUUUGGGAAUCUUUACUGUAAUGUGCAGGUGAAAUAAACCUUGUAAAAGCUGGCAAAUUAAAAAAAUAAAUUAAUCGAUCACAUCAUAUGUGUAGCAGGGAACUGCUUGUUCUUGAAGCAAAAAUUUCACAUCUGUGUAAUAUAAAAUUUACUAUCUGAAUUUUAAGAGGUAAUACCUUAAAAAACGGCCAGACCCUCGUAUGGAAAAUUUCAUAUAUCUGCCUCUUUCGUUCCUUCAAUUUUCAUCCAUCCACCUUUCCUUACAAUUUCCAGGGGAAGAAUAAAUGGGCGGAAUUGGGUCCCACCAGGUCGAGGCCUUGGCCCGGCCCGAUUUUGGACGGACUGGGCCUGUUCAGGUCUGGGUUCAUUGGGCCGGACUUUUAAAAAAUCGUGCCGAACCCAAUCCACCAUUUACUCGAAUCGUGAUGCAGGAUCGACGGUUGACACUUGACAGCGCCAUUGCCGUACGACGUGCCUUUGUACGAGAUCCACAACGGGAAACAUCGAAAGCUUCCAUUCUAAGAACGCCACGAGGACAAAGCUCCGUGCUAUAAAGUGAACGGGAUAUUUCGUCGAACGAAGCGGAAACCCUAGCGCGGCCCCCAAAACCCCAUCGUCUCCCUCCCCGUUCCUCGUCUCUUCUCACUCCUCUCUCCGCUCUCUCUCGCUCUCAAGGUAACAUUCCCCUCUCUCUCGCUCUCUCUCUCGAUUCAAUCUAUGCGAGCUCCAUUUUGUGUUGUUACAUUUCUGCUUCUCGAGAUCUAUAUAUAGAGGCCCUUCUCUUAGGAUCUAGGUUUUUCUUCUUCCUUUUUUUUUUUGUAAUUUUUCGUUUAUUUAAUGAGCACAUGCUAUUUUCUAGUUUAUAUCGGCAAAACAAGAUCUAAGAAUCAGUUCGAAUUAUUGGUAUUUUGUUUUGAUUGCUUAAGCAUUGGAUAGCGAGAGGGAUUUUUGUGAUUUUUAGAAAUUUAGGUAGAGUGAUUUGACUUUCUGCUUAAUAGGAAUAGUUUUAUAGAUUGUCAUAUGACGGUAUUUAACUCUCAGCUUUGCAUCUUUGAGCAAGCUUUUGCUCUUCAGUGGGACACUCUACUCUUUUUUCUAUUUUUUUUAUCCUGGAAUUGUGGUGCAUUGAGUGUAAAAGCAAGUGGUGGUGACUAGGUUGUAAUAGGGCUUUGAAAUUUUACCCUGCUUUUGAACAUGACAAUGAUUGAUGGAGAUGGGUAGAGCAUCGUAAUCUAGUUCUGAAGGAAAAGCUUUUUUUGCGUUUUAUACAACUAUAGUGCUCUUUCUAUGUGGCAUAAGGAUCUCAACAACUCUUAAAGGCCUUAGAUUGAUUACUCAUUCAUCAUGUUCUUUCGUGCAGAUGAAUGUCGAAAAGCUCAAGAAGAUGGCCGGUGCUGUUCGCACUGGUGGAAAAGGCAGUAUGCGCAGGUUCUGCAUAUUUUUACUUACUAUUAUAUGAAUAUAUUUAUUACUGUCUGAAAACAAAGUUUAAAAGGAGGCAAUUAAACUUCUUAAAAGUGAUGGGGUUGAGUUAUGCGAAUUGUUGGUGGCGUUGAUUGAUCAAGAGGAAGCUAAUUUUCUUUUUCUUUUUGUUUGUAACACUGUAAAUGUUAUAGUGGCUUGUGGGAUAUGAUUUUCACUUUCUUUAUGAAUUGAAGCAUCAAAAAUACAAUCUUGUUUUUCUUUCUCCUGACUUUCCUAAGUAGGCAAGAGAUUACGUUUGAUAUGAUUUGCCAUAACUGUUGAUAGUAUAAUUGCCAGGGAAUUCACUUUACUCCUUUGAUGCCAUUUUUAUUUCUCAUUCUGUUAUCAUCUGAAGUCGAUAAGAAUAUACAGCAUAGAUAAUGAUAUACAACUGUUGAUAUUACAGUGCGGCAGUCCUUUUUUUAGUAAAGAAGGGUUACACUUCGUCUGAAAUUUAUUUAUUCUUCCUUCACAUGUUUCAAAUAGGAAGAAGAAGGCUGUUCAUAAGGCAACGACAACUGAUGACAAACGGUUGCAAAGCACUUUGAAAAGAGUAGGAGUGAACGCCAUACCAGCUAUUGAAGAAGUUAACAUUUUUAAAGAUGAUCUUGUUAUCCAAUUUCUUAAUCCUAAAGGUUUGUACUUCAUUGCAGUAGUAGAGUGACAUAGACUGCAGGUUGGAGAUACAACUAUUCUCUUAUUAAUUUGGCUUGUUUUGUUUUCAGUGCAAGCUUCCAUUGCAGCCAACACAUGGGUGGUUAGCGGUUCUCCACAGACAAGAAGUAAUUUACAUCUCUCUAUAAGCUACACAUUAAUUAGCAUUUACUAAUCAAUGGCAUCUAGUAGUAAAAUUCACUGGUUCUCUUUAUUUUUUACUUCAGUCUACAAAUUAUCUUAAAAUUUCUUUCCUUUCUCUAAAUUGUCCUUUGCAUGGAUUUUCCUUUUGGCAGAACUACAAGAUCUGCUCCCUGGGAUCUUUAACCAGCUGGGUAUGUAAUGCUUUCGAGUAUUGCUGUUCAUUAGUUUUCUUUUAUACCUUGAAUGCAGCAUUAAAUUGCAGUUGCCAUGUAAUGUUGACACCAUUCAAUCCUGUUCUACUUUCAUAAUGAUAUGUUUUCUGUUUUGUCUUGUUGUACUCACCUAUUUUUUUUUCUGACCAAUCAAUAAUUGCCGUGUUUCAAUUCUGCAGUUAAAAUUCUCUUUGAUGAUUUUUCCUUUACAAGUAUCUUGUAUUUUGGGAUAAAUAACUAGAGGUCAUGUUUUAUAUUGGGAUAUUUGCAAUAUAACCUCCAAAUGAACUACUUACCUAUAUCACCAUGCAUAAUAUGGAAGUUCAUGUACAAUCUUCAAAGACUAAAUGUCAUUCAUAUAUCACCUGAAACAUUUUCUAUGACAAAACCAAUGGGCCCACAUCAAUCAGAUGAUUCCAGGGUGUAUGGUAUAUUGGUAUGAAACGGCAGUUUAUAUGGUUACAUAUGACAAGUCAGAUUUUACAGAGACAUUUUGAUAGAUGAUUUUUUCAGGGACACUGAAUAUGUAAAGGCCCCCCUUUCGAUAUCGGGGCCGCUCAACCUGUCAUUUGAAGGAUGCUUAAUUGGUUGCUUAAUAAGCUUAGCCACUCAAAUGGCAUUAUUCUCUUUUCAGGUCCUGACAACUUGGACAAUCUGAGGAGGAUCGCCGAGCAGUUCCAGAAGCAGGCUCCUGCUGCCGGUGCCGACAACAAUGACAACACCGCUCAAGAAGAUGAUGAUGAUGUACCGGAACUAGUUGCAGGAGAGACAUUCGAAGCUGCAGCUGAAGAGGCCAAAGCAUAAGAGUUUUUUCCUCUUUUUUUUUUUCGUUGUUUUCAUCGCCGAACCCAUCGCUGGUUCAGCCGUUUCUUCUUUUUUGUUUAUUUAUGGUUUAAUCUGGAGAGCAGGCUUUUAAAUUUAUUAUAGAAAGACAAGCAUGCAUGUUAGCUACUCUCAUCCGGCCAAGAUAUGUAACUGAUGUGAUAAAAUAUCGUGCUGUUCUCGCUGAGCUUCUCCCACUUUAAGAUUUUGCUACUUGUUAUUUUAUUUUCCAAGAUUUUCCAUUCAUUGUUAUUGGCGCAUGUUUCUCUUUUUCAAUUUGAGAUUUUUACAUUCUUUUUUAUAUUAAUUUCAGUUGUAAUCUGGAUUUUUUUUUUUUUUUUUUGGUGCUGUGCUAAAUUACGCUUGUUUAUUUUUGUCUAGCCAUGUGGGUGUUCAAGAUUAGUCAUGACCUUGGUGGACCUGGACCUGAUUUAAAGCAAAUUGUUCCGAGGAUAAUCGUACUAAUAACGAUUCGUCUUUCGAGAUGAUUAUACUUGGUUGGUUCAUGUUGGUACCCGGCUUGUGUCAAUUACUUCAUCUUUCUUGCUGCAUCUGAAUUUGCUGCGUGUGUUUCUGUUGCUAAUUCUAUGCGAUUUUGUUGACACAGUUAGGAUUUGUACUGGAGAAUUUGCAUGAAUUUUGAGUCACCAAGACAAAUAGAAGUCUUAAUGAUCAAAAGCGCGGAUCAUCUGAUUGUUGGGUCCCUGGAGCCAUUUCUUUGUAAGCCUUGGUGGACGAGCAGGAACUUUAUGAUAUAGUUUCAUUUGGUGAAGAAACAAUAAUUCUGUCGAGACUCUGAGAUCGUGCAAUAUUCUACCGUCACAAUAUUAUGUGACAUUGAUUAUUCAGAUGUAUAUGCUAGAUGAUCUUUGAGCCGGAGAAACUGUUGAAUUUUUGUCACGUCUCACGCACGUCAGCAGCAGUGUGAGAGACGUUCCUAGAUUUUCUUCUUCAACUGUGAUGCUCUCGCACCACCAUUUUCCCCUAGAUCGCAGACGAGGAGGCAGCAGGUGGCGGCAGCGACUGAGGCCGUGUUGCUGCGCGAGAGGAGCGGCCGUGGGAGCCCGCACGGUGGAGGCGGCACUUGAAGGAUCCUUGGUGUGUCGCCGGCGCGCACACACACUUGGGAACUGCUGAGGCCGUAGAGUUGGUCGACCAGCUUCGCCUCAGGUUCCGAUGAGGAGCAGGCGGCGGUGGCGGUGGCAGUGGCGGCGGACCCUGCAUGCUGAUCUGCAUCCCCUCAUCGGCAGAGGCCAUAUCUGGUAACACUCGUAAAAUCUGAGAAAAAGAAAUGAGGAGCAGAAUUUGAUCAGAAAAGAUCAAAAACAAACCAGGUACUAGUAAAGCUGAAAGCAGGCAACCCGGCGGCCGCGCUUUCAAGGAAAAAAAAAACAUGAAAAACAGUAUCAGCAGUAUGUACUGUGCUGCGUCGUAGUACGUAGAAAUAUAGAAACCGAAAAAAUAAAAUGCUAAACAGAAUUAAUUACAAGAGAGAAGGUAGAGGUACAGCUUCCUCUUGCUUCACAUUAGUUAUGUAUAAUUAUUAACAAGAAUUAAUAAGGAAAAAGGAGGGGAAAAAAAAGAUAAGUAAAGAACAGGAGAAGAGAAAGUGGUUGCUCCACUCAACGAGCCAUUCAUUCGGAAGAGGCAAAGUGCGUUCCACGGCACGGGACUUCGUAUUGUAUUUAUAUAUAUAUUUAUUUAUAGGAGAGUGGGGGCUCCAACGCACUCCCUCCGCAUAGCUUUCAUACAUUGUGGAUGAGGGCGACGCGAACAAUCUUUUGUUUACUAGUUAUUAUUUUUUACGCAGAAUUAAAUGAGAUAGGAUACUUUCUUUCAGCUUUUAAAAUAGGGAUAUUUAAAUUUUCGAAAAGCUUUAAUCAGUUUACUCCCGAGCGGUGCUCGAAGGAAAAAGAGGGAAUACGCCCUGAAAUUAGAAUACUGGCUUGCAAACAGUAGUAAUUAAUAUAUAGAUUUUGACCGUCGUAUUCACUGGUGCGUAUUUCCUCUUUUUUUUUUUCUUUUUUUUUUUUUUUAUAAUGUCUUUUUGGGCCUUUUCAUAAAAAAAAAAAAGAAAGAAGCUUAGUACAACUUCGGUAAGCAACUCAUCCAACAGCAGAUAUCUAUGAUAUGAUAAUAUUUCGCUUCGAUUUCUUGGAUUUGUCGCAAUUAUGGGUUAGAACAUGAAAGAGUGUUAUAGGUGG